GGGGAUGUACCAUGGCUUGUGUGUCACUGAAGGUGGCCAUCGGUUGGUAUUUGUUGAUGUUGCCCGUCAUGAUGGAAAAUGUUAUGGCCCGAGGAUGCCCAACACUGGUUUCACCCUCACCUCCCGGACAUUGAAGAUGACAGGGAAUUGCACCACGCCGUGGGAGUGGAAUCAGGAUGCUGUUGUCACUUCAGAUGAACUAUGGCAUGCAAACACCAUGGAGAGUCUCCCUCGUGACAUUGUGAUGCUCCCAUUGCUGAGUAUGGAUAAGGCCAAUGUUGCGCACCUUUCAUUGCUUGAAUGGGAUGGUGGCAGAUUCUCAUUAGUUUCCAUCGACUUGAGUAACAUGCAAGUGAUGGGCCCAGUCAUUACAUACCUCAAAGGGGAGGAUGAUACUGCUGAUGCUGACAUCGUCAAGGCAAAGCAAGGAUUAUGUGCACACUUUAUUCCAUCCGAAUUCCCCAAGUUCCUGGAUCUCAGGUAGCUUCAGCGUUGCCUCCCACUUUUACUUGAGCACAAUUUUUUUUCAUGCAGCCUUUUGCUCUCUUUUUUUCAGCAGUUAAGGUUUCUGCCAUGUUAUUCUUGAAACCUUUGAGGAAUCAACAGAAUGUGCUGGUUGCUGGGAGUAAUAUGGAUCAAUGUUUUCAAAUCUUUAUGUUGAGUCUAGUCACUGGGGUACAAUUAGAUGGCUAAUCGUGACUAGGCAACGAUUAAAUUUGCGAUUAGCUUUGAGACCAGUCGAUCCACCCUUGCCUAUAGUAGAGAAUGAUAGAGUAUAACACAAAGGUGACGAACUGAUCUCUUGGUUUGAGCCCAACACAUAAUUGUUCUACGUGGGUUCUUCAAUCUGAAAGUGCAUAAGCGUGCCAGCGUUGUGCUUUGUUUCCUUCACUAUUUUGAUUCUACAUGUCAAAUUAUUGAAAGGUUUUGUUCAGUUACCAACAACAUGGAUCCUUAGAAGUAGGUGGCACCCAGCGAAUCAGCAUCAUAUCGAAGAACCCCUAGGUCUUCUAAACAAACUGGCUGGAAUUGUGGAAAUCAAUUAAACUUAAUUAUAUCCAAAUUUUUUUUCUUGUCAAAUUGAUGUGUUAGCAACCAUACUGACACUCAAAACAUCACUUAUUUGUAACAUAACGUUGCGGUAUUACAAUUGUUGUUCCGAUUCUCACGGGUUUGUUCAAAGGUUAUUUCAUUUUAUUUUAAUUUCUUUUCAAAUCCUAAUAAUUAAGACCUGCAAGAUUGGUCUACAAAACGUCCUGGUUUAACCACUAGUGAAAACUCUCUCUUUUUCUGCCCUUUCCAGAACGUGCCAACGCGUACAUGCUGCUGCUGUAUCUUUGUCGAGUCCGAUGGAAGAGUUUAAAACCGGUAUCAAUUUUUGAAUAUUUAAAACCAUACGAUCCCUUGAGAAUGUGUUAGGCCUAAUUUUGCUACUAGAAUAUUUAUUAUUUAUGUGUUCAGAUAUUAACAACCUGCAAUUUGUCACCUUUUUUUGCAGGAACAGUAAUCUGUCACUUCUCAUGGUUGGAUUGAAAUGUGAUGAUUGUUGAUAGGUUUGCUAAACAGAUGGAAGUUGGAGGUGUGACUACUUGAAUCAAUGGGUAAUAGCAAAAAAAAAACAUUGAUCUACUUAAGCAGGAAAGAAAAUAAUAAUACUGACGCUAGUCACAAGCAAGUAAUGUUUUGAGUCAUGUGCAAUUAACCAUUACAUUUUUUUUUGCAAAUUACUACCUAAUGUUCUUUCAGAUACAAACACAUAUCAAGAUUAUUUAGCCUUCUUAAUUUAUGAUUAACAAUUUAUUCUAAAGAUUUGUGGAGCACUACUCAAUUUAUAUUACAGAAUACUUUUACAUCAUGCCAAUAUUAUUAUCAUGAGUAAUACAACUCAUGAUAUAUUGACGGUCAAAUUAUGAGUUUAGAGAUCGACCGCACUAUGUUUGUAUCAGAAAAUGGUUUUACAAAGCUGUAGUAUUGUAGUGUUUUACAAAACAAAGAAAUGUCAAAUUAUCUGUUAACGAUGAAUCAUGACCGGAGUCCAGCGCAAGCACUAAAACUAGAAUGGUCGUUCUGAUUCUCAUAGUUUUCUUAAAGGUUCAUUUGGUGUUUUGUUAAGUAAAAUAUACUCUUACGGUGUCAUCUAGAUCAAUAAACUCUCAAAAUAUAUUUUCAGGUCGCCAAAUUAUCUCAAGGUGUCAUAUGGGUCCUAAACUCUCAAAGUACAUAUUUAGAUCCCAAACUUGUCCUCGGUUUUCAUCCAGGACCCUAAAUUCUCAAAAUACAGUUUUAAAUAUUAAAACUUGUCACCUAUGGCUGAUGGUAAUGAUUACUCCUCGCUUAUUGCCUUCAUAACCACCUUAUGCUAGUGAUCAUGCUUGUGUUGCUUGGCGCUCGAUUGGGAGAUCUUAAAAUGUACUUUGAGAGUUUAAGAACUCGGAUGACACCCCGAGAUAAUUUUGGGUACCUGUGUUUUGAGAGUUUAGCUUGCCUGAACAUGUAUUUUGAGAGUUUAGGGACCUAGAUGACACCCAGUUCAGGAACCAUGCAAAUAUUUUACUUUUUUUUAACUCAAAUACGAAUAAUUAAUCCCCCCAAGAUUAUUGGACUAUAACACGUCCUUGUUUCAGUAGCGAAAAUAAUUAAGCUCCGCAAGAUUAUUGGACCAUAACACGUCCUUGUUUCAGUAGCAAAAUCUCUUUUUAAUUUGUUACCUUUCCGGAACGUGGCAGCGCGAGAAGUUGUACGAGUCAUGAGUGUGGCUUUCGUAGUUGUCGGUCGAGGUCUCCCUGGACGAACAAGUGGCGAGUACAUCCCUGGAAUAAUCCACACCAGACCGCCGGCCGGUGAGUCACGGAGGCCAUAACUGCGACGGCAGGCAAUGCAAUCCCACCGUGGUGACGCGCCCUCUCCGUCGGCGCGCCGGGCACGGAGGACGAGCCAGGCAACCGUCCCCGGUGGCCGGCGAUGAUGGCGGACGGCCGGGGUUAUCCUCCCGGCGAUGAUUCGUUGCGGAUUAUUGGCUUCGCGCGCCGCCUCUCGCUCUCAGCCGGAGAUCAAUCAGGCAAACACUAACGAACUGUGCUAAUCCUGAUCUCCUUCUUCCUAGUACGUGGACCUGCCUGUGAUCACGGGUGGUGCGCGCGGCGGAGGUACGGCGGUGGUUCACGCGUGGCCGUUGCACGCCCGGCGCGGCGCGGCUCUGACCGGCUUGACGGCCGCCGCUGGUGGGUGGAAAUGGCGCGGCCAGGUAGAGCUGGCAUCGGCGCAUGGCGGCGGCGGGGCUCGGACGCGGCGAGAGGGAACGUGCGGCGCCGCCAGCGCGCGCGUGGUGUUUCUCGCGGCUUGCUACGAGUACCGAGUGGCCGGGGAGUCAGCCUCUCUGUGCAAACGGAACAUGCUGUGUUUGGUUGGUGAACGCGGCUGGACGACGACGACGACGACGCGUGCAAGCACAGACGAAUUGGACGACGACGACCACUGGCUUUUGAGGUCACGUAACAGGCCGAAGAGGUCAUCUUCCACAUUUGGUGGCGAGGCUUAUCUCUUGCGGUAGUAUAUAUUUUUCGAAUGGCUUGUCAAAAAGAAAAAAAAAGAAUAAUUAAAAAGAGAGAAGGGUGCCUACGCUGUGCAAUGGGCCCAGAAAGAUGUGAUAAGGGGCCCACCGCUUGAAAUGAGUAAUGAUGCCUUGCGCGCUCGAAAUGGAAUAGAAUCUUUUAGUCAACAAAAAUUAUAGGAUGGUUGAAAUUUUGAAAGAGUUUAUACUCUAUAAUUUGUAAAUUUUGAUUGAAGUAUCUCUUGAUGCCUACAGUCGAGGCUGCUGCAGAGAGAUUGCGUCCUGGUGCUUUUUCUAGGAUUAGAAGCUUUUAGUUUAAAUGCAUUUUCCUAUUCAUUUUGCAUGGUACAUGUUUUUGGCACCAGAUCAUCACCCAAGAUCACCAUUAUUUAACUCAAGGUCGAGCAUCUAUCCUUCCUUUUUUUUUUUGGAUUUAACUUGGUUUGAAUCAUAUCGAUACUUCUUUUUUUGGAUUUUGCAGAUUCCAGCUCCAACCUGAGGUGCUGUUCUUCCUGGCCUGGUGUAUUACUUCAGGUGAUGUCCUAAAAGAACAAUGGAAUUGUCCCUCUGAUAACUAUUUUGAUAAGAUUUUCCAUUCCCUACCUUGGCCCUCUUAUUUCUCCGGCAGUCUAGCACGAUAGAUGACUUGAUUGAAGCAUUAAGUAAAGUGGUAAUUGAAUGGUUAGUAUUACGGUUCAUACCAUGGACUUUAUCGUCUUGCUGCAGUUUUCCAGUGGUUGCAACUUAUUGAUAUGCCACUUUUUCAUAAACAUGAUUGUCAAGUGGUCACAUUGUGAAAGAUGAUUUUCUGAAGGGGACCCAAAAGCCUGAAUAACUUUCUAGGAUACUAACCUCCGGCCUAAACCAUGUUAGGCGCUCUUCUUUGAGCAGAGAUAUGCUGUGAAUCAAUUUUUUCUUGACUUUUAUGAAGGCUUGGUUCAUCUCGCAGAUGUAGGAUAAGAGCAAGAGGAUGACUCAACCUAUGGCCCCAAUUGAUCUGCUGCACAGAUAUACUUUGCUCUCUUAUGCGGUUAUUUAUUGGAUUUUUAGCUGGCCAAUAUUAGAAAAUCGUAUGCUUCUUAAUCAUAAAAGCUGAUCUCUUGCUCACUCUGAAUGAUAGCAUUUGUACUCAAGUGUCGUUUGUGUUCCUGUGGCAGAGACCUUUUGAUCUCAGGUAUUCCUAUAAUUAUGUCUACAUAAGUAGCAUGUGGCAUCAGAGCCAAGAAACUUGACCGAUUCAGCAAAAUUAUAAGUAAAUUUUGUAUGCAGACUUUUGGUGCUGCUGCUUCCUUGGGCAUGUGUGGUUUCUGAAACAACUUAGAGACUUCAAGUAUGCCCUCUCAGUAUAGGUUUCACACAGCUUUCUUCUUCGGAUCAUAUUAAAAACUUUUCAUGUCUCUAUGAAUCCCUAUUUUUAUCUGCCACGCCACUUAUUCUUUUUUCUAUCCUGCAUACAAUUGUGCACUUUUAUUGUGUAUACACACAUGAUAGUCAUUUUCAGUGCCAUUUUUAUUAUGUAUUUCCAGCAGAGCAGCAUAGUUGAUCACCUAAUUAAAAUACUCAUCACAGUAAGAAAGCAGAUUGCUCAUGGUAUGUUGCUAAUUUCUCAUGAGCUUAUAGGUGAAUGAUCAUAUGUUUCAAUAUUCUUCCUCUUAGACUACGCCACAUUUUUUUUUAGCUUGGUACAUCAAGCUGUGCACAGUAAACAUAUGAGAUACAUUCAUACCGAUUCCAUGUCAUUAUUGGCUUGUUUAUGCUAUCUUCUACUACAUGACAUACAUGAACAUGUAACCGUACAACAAUGUGCGCGCAUGUAACCAGUACUAGUGCCCUUUAUUUUACAGAGAGAGCUGAAUGCUGUCGACUGAAAUGUCACUGGUUCAAAAAGAAGCGCGCACAGCUCUCUGCAUGACUUUACACCCCUAGCAACUAGCAUCAUCAGCAACAAAUUGGUUACCAGCCAUGUCAACAUAUCAGGACUGCUGCUGCUUUUUCCUGCUGACGAUGAAACAGCAGAGCGACAGGUACAGUUAACGGCAGUGAACAGUGAUUAAGACCGACCAGGGACUGCGACCCAUCUAUCUGGUCUCACCAACUGAAUUGCAGAAUAAAUGGAUAAAAUUCCAGGUAAAUGGAUUGUCAAAAAAGGCUCAUCUCUUCUUGCAGCACUUUUCCCUUUUCAGGUCCCAUCACAGAAUGGCUUAUCAAUCAAAAAGAAAAAGAAAGAAACAAAGGUGGAUGCUGUGCAAUGGGUCCAAGAAAGCUGUGAUGGGGGCCCAUCACUCAACGAGUGAAUGAUGCCUCGUGGGCUCGAAAUGGAAUAAAGCUUGCCUGCCCUUAAGCUUAAACCUAACAGUUGAGAAAGAUGCUAAUCAGGAAUCACACUCAAAUUAAGGGCCCCUCGCCUGAAUGAAAAUAGAAUAAAGCACAAUUAUUAAAAAAAAUAGAAUAAAGCAACAAAGUUCCUUCAUUCUCAAAUGAUGAGCGCCAAAAAGAGUUCCCUCCCGCUUCACGCAAGGGAAUAACCAUGGCCUCAGAUGAAGCACUGCCUUUUUAAUCCAGUGUCAACGGUAGACAAGAGAUCCAUAAAGGAAGCAAUGGAUUUUUAAUCCUGGAUAUGCUGAGAGACAGUGCGGUUUAUCCGUUGUUGUCCUUUCUGGGUCCCAAAAAUGGAUUGUCAACUGAAUGAACGAUUGAAUGAAAUGCCUUGUGGGCUAAAGAGGCUAUAAAGAAAGAUUGCCUGCCACUAGGAGUAUACGCACUGCAACGCCCUAGAUGCUUAAACUUAACUGUUACCAAAACAAUCAGACCCUAAUCAUAGCAUGAUACCAUUCAUCGUUCAAGUACAUUUACCUUGCAUUGGAAGUAUCAGUGGUGUCCUAUAAUCCUUAUUAAACGGAUGGUCCGUGUUCCAUAUAUGUCACUUAGCUAGAAAAUUUUAUUCAUAAAGCAAAAAGAACUCAAAAGGUACUUAUUCGUUCUUACAAAUUGAUGAAGUUCAAGAGAAGUAUUAAGACGGGAGCAUAGAAUAGUACAGUUUUCCACAGCUCAUGUUUCUCAUCUGAAUAAACCUUAUAAAACAUAUGAGGUAUCCACACUAUCCUGACAUGCUAGAAUAAAAGAAGCAGAUGAUACAAGCGACAUGGGUAGGAGCCCCAAGGUCAAGCUAAAAGCACGAAAGAUAUUAAGAUAACUAGCUCAGUCCAGCGUACAAAAACAAUUGAGUAGUCUCAUUAUUCUUUGUUGCUCGGGAAAUUUGGAAGCACAGCAAUAGCCCGAUCUUCCGAUAGGUAUGGAUAAUUUAAUUGGUGGAGAACUCAAUAUUGAUGAUCCGGACUUCUAAUCAGACACGAUUUGAACCCCUGCAACCGCUACACCGCUGCUUCGUUGGUUAUCAAUCAAGCACAACUCUAUUGACCUCGCCAAGAAGGCUUUCCCUACGGGCGAAUCGAAGAACACAAACAAGAAAGUAUAAACACGCAAUCUGAAAUUGCAGAUGUAUAUAAAAUAGAUCCGAGUAAAAGGUUCAAGCUCUCGAUUCGAAAAGACUAAUCGACACAAUCAAGGAGAUCAAGAACAUGAGCCUUGGAUCACAAUAAAAGGACUUGUUGCCACAAUUACAAUGAAUCAAUCUCAGUUUCUCAAUGAAAAACUAAAACUAAAUAAAACUCGAGUCUUUCAAGUGGCGGCUACUAAGUUUAUAUGAAAAAAGGGCAAGCUAGGGUUGGGGACGACCAGGAGAGGGGCGCCCACAACAUUGGCUUAAAGCCCGACACGAAGGUCAACUUGGCCAAAAACUGGUGAUAAAGCACCUUGUCAUGGUCACACAGAAUAAUCCAUGACGCUUCUAGAGCUAGGGUCAGAAUCAAAUGAAAGGUUUCGUCAUUUUCUUUCAUUUUCUUUCUAGCGCAUUAAAGAAUGUCUCGUUUCGAUAUCGUAAGAAGGAGAUAUUGCUAUUUUUGUGCAGGGUGGUUGGCUGAAUUCGAACCGAACGCGAACAUCAAGUUGGUGACAACUUGUAACUUGGAGAAGGCCGAGGCUCAUACGUAUCCAUCAUGGUGAUGUCCUUAUCAGUAAAAUAUAUAUAAAUUAACAAGCAUAGAUAUUAUACGAAUUAACCAAAUUAAAACUAUAUAGUAAAUUAGCACGGGCUAAAAUAAUUUUGAGCUAAAUAAAUAUAGGGUUGGAUUGUGAAAAAGAUACGAGGGUCAUGAUCCAUUACCGCUCGCACCGCACAUCGAUUAAAAGGUGGGCCGAAACAGAUAAAGGACAAAAAAGAAUCAUAUCGGCCCACAAAUGAAAUGUUAGACAGAAGAACGCGAAUCUUGAAAACAUAUGGGCCGUUCAAAACCGACGGAAAUGAGCCCAUAUUUAUUAGCCGGCUAAAUUAUACGGAGGAAGAGAUUUCAAAUGGUGAAAAGGAAAGGAAAAAAAAAAAGGCAAUCUGGGCUAAUCUUUCUACGUGCUGGGCUGAUCACAUGUGAGCCGAUACAGACACGUCAGGCCACCCGCACACACUCCUUCCCACCCGGCCGGGCCCACACGCAGGAUUGCAGAGGAUAGAUCGAAUCAAUAGCCAACUCCUCUCGUCGUCCUCGCCUCCAAAUCGAGGCAUACCCCAAACCCUAGCCAUCCCCAAUCCGGCCGCCGCGUCUACCGAUCCGUUAGAUCCAUGGCCGCCGCCGCUGCCGGCGACUCCGCUGUACCCAACUGGGUGAUGCUGGAGCGCUUGGCCUUCCGGAGGGACGACCCCGCCUCCUUCCGCGAGGACAGGAGGACCUUCGCUUCCGGCACCACCUCCACCGGCACUCAAUUCGACGUCUCCUUCAUCCUCGCCGAGCCUCCCACCCCCUCGCGCCUCUACCUCUCGUGGCCGGAAGGGCCCAAGCAGGAGAGCCGGGGCCUGGUCAUGGCGGCCAACCGCAACCUCGUCCUCCUCAGGCUCGACUCCCUCAUCGACGAAUCCGAUCCUUUCGGGGAGGUAGUGCAUGAUUACUUCAUCUACAUAGCUGAUCCCUCCUCACAGUGGACACCCCUGCUCAGACGGCUGCCCCCCUGCACCGAGUACGACGAUUAUUUUGAGAGGCAAGUUACUCGCGUUUUGCCGGCGCUGGCUGUUGGUCUGUUGUGCCAUGGCGAAGACGAGUUUGCCGUGGCGCAUCUGGACAUCAGGUCUCGCAAAAAAAAAUCAGGGUCUCGCAAAAAAAAAUUACCUAUCCAAGCUGAGCUAUGCGUGCUACGCUCGUCAUUGUCCUGCAGUGAUGAUGCCAAAUGGGAGACCAAGAUCCUUCCGAUACAGUACCAAUACGAUGAUUUAUCCUCUGAUUUUCUGUACUGGUCAGUGGAUGGUGUAGUUCCCUUCAAGAAUGCCUUGUGCUUUGUUAACUACUGUAGAGGCAUCCUUUUCUGCGACGGCGUCUUUGAAGACAGCCCCAAGGUCUCCUACAUCCGCUUGCCUCUGGAUACUUAUAUCCGAGGGGCUGAUGGCGAAGCACGCAAGGGGAUGUACCAUGGCUUGUGUGUCACUGAAGGUGGCCAUCGGUUGGUAUUUGUUGAUGUUGCCCGUCAUGAUGGAAAAUCUUAUGGCCCGAGCAUGCCCAACACUGGUUUCACCCUCACCUCCCGGACAUUUAAGAUGACAGGGAAUUGCACCACGCCGUGGCAGUGGAAUGAGGAUGCUGUUGUCACUUCAGAUGAACUAUGGCAUGCAAACACCAUGGAGAGUCUCCCUCAUGACAUUGUGAUGCUCCCAUUGCUGAGUAUGGAUAAGGCCAAUGUUGCGCACCUUUCAUUGAUUGACUGGGAUGGUGGAUUCUCAUUAGUUUCCAUCGACUUGAGUAACAUGCAAGUCAUGGGCCCAGUCAUUACAUACCUCAAAGGGAAGGAUGAUACUGCUGAUGCUGACAUCGUCGAGGAAAAGAAAGGAUUAGGUGCACACUUUAUUCCAUCCGAAUUCCCCAAGUUCCUGGAUCUCAGGUAACUUCAGCGUUGCCUCCCACUUUUACUUGAGCACAAUUUUUUUUCAUGCAGCCUUUUGCUCUCUUUUUUUCAGCAGUUAAGGUUUCUGCCAUGUUAUUCUUGAAACCUUUGAGGAAUCAACAGAAUGUGCUGGUUGCUGGGAGUAAUAUGGAUCAAUGUUUUCAAGUCUUUAUGUUGAGUCUAGUCGCUGGGGUACCAACUAGAUGGCUAAUCGUGACUAGGCAACGAUUAAAUGGCGAUUAGCUAUGAGACCAGUCGAUCCACCCUUGCCUAUAGUAGAGAAUGAUAGAGUAUAACACAAAGGUGACGAACUGAUCUCUUGGUUUGAGCCCAACACAUAAUUGUUCUUUGUGGGUUCUUCAAUCUGAAAGUGCAUAAUAGCGUGCCAGCGUUGUGCUUUGUUUCCUUCACUAUUUUGAUUCUACAUGUCAAAUUAUUGAAAGGUUUUGUUCAGUUACCAACAACAUGGAUCCUUAGAAGUAGGUGGCACCUAGCGAAUCAGCAUCAUAUCGAAGAACCCCUAGAUCUUCUAAACAAACCGGCUGGAAUUGUGGAAAUCAAUUAAACUUAAUUAUAUCCAUAGUGCCUUCCUUGUAUAUCAUGUUUCAUUCUGCCAGUAGUAACCUCAGCAACUUGACGGUCUUGGGAAAUUAGGCAAUGGUAGUCUGCCUGAGGUUAAUAUAGGCCCUUUUUGUAUCCGCUUAUUUCCUGCUUAUCAAUGGAAAUAAGCGAUAAGCCCACCCAAACGCCUAGCUUAUUUCCCACUUACCUCCCAAGCCGCUUAGCCCACAAUCUGGAAAACAACUAGCGCCCCGCUUAUUCUCUAUGCGGUCUUGGGGCCGCUUCUUGGGCAAGCGAAGCGCUUUUUCCUGAUACCCUCACCCGUCCGCUGCCUGCCGCCCUCCGACCGUCGCCGGCUCCGUCCGCCGCCCGCCUGCCUCCACCGCUUCCCUGCACAAAUCCCAUGCAGAUCCCGUUGCCAUCAGUCACCAGCACUCCUGCCCAGAUCCCGUCGCCGCCGGUUCCGUUCGCUGCCCGCCGCCGGCCGACCCUACGCUUGGCCCCCUGUGCUUGGCCUCCGGCCGGCCCUGCUGUUCUUUUUUGUGAAGGAGGUGGCGGAGUGCUGGCCGUCUACUGCUGAGUGUUGGUCGUGAGCAGCAUUUGAGCUCGCCGUGCGUGCUGCCGUUGUUGUUGAGAAGGAGCUAGAUAUGGGUGCAUUGCGUCAUGUUAUUGCUGUCGCUAUGGUUCGUGAUUCGUUGUUGUACUCAUGAUGGAUGUUUCCAUACUAGACCGUUCUAUCAUAUGAAUUUCAUAUUAUUGUAAUGAAAUUUCUAUUUAACAAACUCCAAAAAUAUUGGAAUUAUUAUCUUCUCCUCAGAUUCACAAUAAAAAUGAGCUAUUAUCAGCCUCAGGGGCAUUCAGGUCAAUUUACCAGCCAGGACAGACAAUCGACACAAAAUAAUCAGGAUUGCCAAACACCCAGCUUAUACAGACAGCGGAUUCUCCAGACAGCAGGCAGGCUUUUAAGAUAAGCCUGCUUGCCAGAUAAGCGAGUUCAGAAAAGCGUAUACAAACAGGACCAUAAAUGUUGCACAGCUUAUUCUGUUGCCUAACUGUUGCUUGUCACGUUGAUCCCAAAAUCGACCAUAAGCUAAGUUAUUUUUUCUUAAUGACGUCCGAGGCACCUGAGAAUCUUUUAUAAUUCUUGGUAACCAUGGAUACUAUCAAAAUAACUUCAGCAAUGGGUGAAUCUAAGACUAUGGGAAGCCUAAAUUUCGAUUUGUACAGAUUAUCUCUGCUGAAAAAAAUUAUUGAAAUCAUCAGCAUGUGUUGUAGCUGACAAUUAUUGUUUCCUAUUUGUAUUGAUGAAGUUCUUGCUACUGUAUUGCAGGAAGAGAGAGAAUCAUCCAUAAGUCCUGUCACCAUAUCGGCUGGCCACCGUCGUCAUGUGUGUUGCUUCUUCAUUUUCCAGUUCUGUUGUGCUGGAUUCUACUGCCGACUUUGUUGAUUGGCUACUACAAUUCUGAGUUUAGUCCUCAGCUUUUGUGUGUUCCCUGCACUUGUGUACUAUAAAUAGCCAGGAAAAACACCUUUACCCGGCUCAUCCGUUGAACUAUAUGAUAAUGCUAGAUGAUGUGUCCAUGCCUUACUAACGUCUUCUACAUGCCAUGCGAGUUAAAAAUCCUGCAAUCAUGUUUCGUGGUAGCAGUUUACCUUUGCACAAUGAAACUCCUCACUAAACCACAGUUCAAUUUGAGGGACUACUGCGUUGUUUUUACAGGGAUCUAAUGCCAUCAAUCAAAUUGUAAAAUACAGACAGGUACGCGUGGAAUGGACACUUGUGUUCAUUCAGAUUUUUGUGAUAUUUCAUACCUAAUGAUUACCAGGUUGUCACGCCCCUACAUGCAAAAUUGGUCUACGAGAUGGGAUAUAAGCUCAAAAGGACGUGAGAGCUGUAUUAUCAUGUAGCUCAUGACCUGGCAGAAGUGAAUAGUUGCACGAAAUACAACAUUGCAAACAAGGUUUUUAUUCAUUUUCUCUGCUGAUGGCACAUGGUAGCAGAAGCAGUGCCACCAAUUGGUGAAAGAUUUUCAGUAAACUGAGUGUUUGACAGAACAAUAUGAUGCCACCAAAGCAAUCUGCAUGAGUUCUCUACCUCCGGAAGUCCAGAUGGUUGCUCUGUUUCAUUCCUCACCAUGGUCAUGGCAGGGCAUGAUGGCACCCCCCCCCUCCCUAGGCGGGGCGCGGAGGCUGCAGGUUCAACUCAGAGUUUAGACCUUAACUUGUUUGUGAGCAAUGCAGAAUGCUACAAAUGUAAUACAGUGGGCAUGCAUGAUGCUGAAACAAACUAGUGCAACUUUUAGUGGAACAAUUGAUGAAUUAUGAUGUGUUGUCCAAGUAAAGGAUCGGUGGUGUUGUUUUGCUGAUCUUUUAGCGAAAAUCUAGUGAUAGUGUGUGGAUAUAUAUCCUAAGUUCCUAAUAACUCAUAGAUGAACAAUGAAUGCUAUAUUGAAUUGAAGCCAUGUUUGUUCUAUUCAAAAUGCAGGGAGCAUGCUCGAGCGGGCUUGGGGGGUCAUGGAGGGUCUGCUAAUGCUGGCACAAAGCCAGACUGGUUCCUUGAAGGGUGAGUAAUUAAUAUCUUUGAUUCAUCUAAGCAGUGCAAAAGUGAUGUGCUUAAUGCCUUGGACAAUGAAGCACCAGCUACUUCUAUGUUUUUUCCACCAAGAUUAGCUCAUGAUUUUGUCACUUUUUCCCACAACCUGCAAGUUUUGAAGCACUUUACUUUUGCCAUGUUAGCCAAAAUUUGGAGACAAGUACAAAGAGUAAGGAUAACCAACUCAUUUCUAGUAUUGGAGCAUCAAAAUCUAGUUCUGGAGCAUCAAAAAGGUAAUACACAGAUCUUAAAAAAUUGGUCAUACUGCUAUUGCUAUUUUGUUGCUACUGUUAUUUUGUUGUCUUUUGUUCAAAUCUAGUUCUAGCAUACACAUGUCAAUAUCAGAUUCAAAUGAACCUCCGCCUACUGCUGCUCCAGUCAAGGCAAAGAGCAAAAGGAAAAAGGAGCCUACUAAAAUGAAAACCACCAUUUCUAUACUGCCACUUGACAGCCCUACAAUGGGCCAAAAAACAAAAGGGUGGAUCCUGCUAGCCCUGCAAUGAGCACAAGGAGCAAAAGAAGGCUCAGCCUGUGAUCCUUAUGAAUCUAUAAAUUUGGACUCCGCCAUGAAUCUUUUUAUAUAUCAACCUUUGUGUGUGAACUUGCAUGUGAAUUUGAACUCCUAUGUGAACUUGCAUGUAUUUGUGGUGCCGUUCUGUGAGCUGUUGCGAUAAAAGGAGCUAAGCCUCAGAGCGUUUCCUAGGAUCUGAAUGAAUUUUUCCUUCUUUUUUCUGCUGUCCAGAUCUACUUCUGAGGGAGUUGGAUAUAUUCUAAGGUGCUUGCCAAGUGUUCAAGAGAGGAUUCUGCUUGUUUUUCGUGCGUGUAUAAUGGAGCAACAAGUGGAGGAGGCGAACGGAGCAGCCGUGGAGACCUGCCACAGGGUGCUUGCUUUGCAGAAAAAAAUCAGAAAAAAAAGGCAGGCAGUCGCGUGCAUGCUCCCAGCAAGGAAAAUGAGGCAGAAAAAAAACAAAAAAAUGGCAGCUGCAUGCGCUGCAUGCAAAAAAAUAGCAGCUGCAUGCGCCCGCGCGAUCUGCAUGCGCCGGCCAGUCUGCAUGCGUCAGGAGAAGAAGACCCACCUGCACACACCCUCCUUCCCACCCGGCCAGGCCCAGACGCAGGAGACAAGAGAUUAAAGAGGAUAGAUCGAAUCAAUAGCCAACUCCUCUCGUCGUCCUCCCCUCCAAAUCGAGGUAUACCCCAAACCCUAGCCAUCCCCAAUCCGGCCGCCGCGUCUACCGAUCCGUUAGAUUCAUGGCCGCCGCCGCUGCCGGCGACUCCGCUGUACCCAACUGGGUGAUGCUGGAGCGCUUGGCCUUCCGGAGGGACGACCCCGCCUCCUUCCGCGAGGACAGGAGGACCUUCGCUUCCGGCACCACCUCCACCGGCACUCAAUUCGACGUCUCCUUCAUCCUCGCCGAGCCUCCCACCCCCUCGCGCCUCUACCUCUCGUGGCCGGAAGGGCCCAAGCAGGGGAGCCGGUGCCUGGUCAUGGCGGCCAACCGCAACCUCGUCCUCCUCAGGCUCGUCUCCCUCGUCGACGAAUCCGAGCCUUUCGGGGAGGUAGUGCAUGAUUACUUCAUCUACAUAGCUGAUCCCUCCUCACAGCGGACACCCCUGCUCAGACGGCUGCCCCCCUGCACCAAGUACAACAAUUAUUUUGAGAGGCAAGUUACUCGCGUUUUGCCGGCGCUGGCUGUUGGUCUGUUGUGCCAUGGCGAAGACGAGUUUGCCGUGGCGCAUCUGGACAUCAGGUCUCGCAAAAAAAAAUCAGGGUCUCGCAAAAAAAAAUCAGGUAUCCAAGCUGAGCUAUGCGUGCUACGCUCGUCAUUGUCCUGCAUUGAUGAUGCCAAAUGGGAGACCAAGAUCCUUCCGAUACAGUACCAAUACGAUGAUUUAUCCUAUGAUUUUCUGUACUGGGCAGUGGAUGGUGUAGUUCCCUUCAAGAAUGCCUUGUGCUUUGUUAACUACUGUAGAGGCAUCCUUUUCUGCGACGGUGUCUUUGAAGACAGCCCUAAGGUCUCCUACAUCCGCUUGCCUCUGGAUACUUAUAUCCGAGGGGCUGAUGGCGAAGCACGCAAGGGGAUGUACCAUGGCUUGUGUGUCACUGAAGGUGGCCAUCGGUUGAUAUUUGUUGAUGUUGCCCGUCAUGAUGGAAAAUGGUAUGGCCGGAGCAUGCCCAACACUGGUUUCAGCCUCACCUACCGGACAUUGAAGAUGUCAGGGAAUUGCACCACGUCGUGGGAGUGGAAUGAGGAUGCUGUUGUCACUUCAGAUGAACUAUGGCAUGCAAACACCAUGGAGAGUCUCCCUCAUGACAUUGUGAUGCUCCCAUUGCUGAGUAUGGAUAAGGCCAAUGUUGCGCACCUUUCAUUGCUUGACUGGGAUGGUGGAUUCUCAUUAGUUUCCAUCGACUUGAGUAACAUGCAAGUGAUGGGCCCAGUCAUUACAUACCUCAAAGGGAAGGAUGAUACUGCUGAUGCUGACAUCGUCAAGGAAAAGAAAGGAUUAUGUGGACACUUUAUUCCAUCCGAAUUCCCCAAGUUCCUGGAUCUCAGGUAACUUCAGCGUUGCCUCCCACUUUUACUUGAGCACAAUUUUUUUUCAUGCAGCCUUUUGCUCUCUUUUUUUCAGCAGUUAAGGUUUCUGCCAUGUUAUUCUUGAAACCUUUGAGGAAUCAACAGAAUGUGCUGGUUGCUGGGAGUAAUAUGGAUCAAUGUUUUCAAAUCUUUAUGUUGAGUCUAGUCCCUGGGGUACAACUAGAUGGCUAAUCGUGACUAGGCAACGAUUAAAUUUGCGAUUAGCUCUGAGACCAGUCGAUCCACCCUUGCCUAUAGUAGAGAAUGAUAGAGUAUAACACAAAGGUGACAACUGAUCUCUUGGUUUGAGCCCAACACAUAAUUGUUCUUUGUGGGUUCUUCAAUCUGAAAGUGCAUAAUAGCGUGCCAGCGUUGUGCUUUGUUUCCUUCACUAUUUUGAUUCUACAUGUCAAAUUAUUGAAAGGUUUUGUUCAGUUACCAACAACAUGGAUCCUUAGAAGUAGGUGGCACCCAGCGAAUCAGCAUCAUAUCGAAGAACCCCUAGGUCUUCUAAACAAACCGGCUGGAAUUGUGGAAAUCAAUUAAACUUAAUUAUAUCCAUAGUGCCUUCCUUGUAUAUCAUGUUUCAUUCUGCCAGUAGUAACCUCAGCAACUUGACGGUCUUGGGAAAUUAGGCAAUGGUAGUCUGCCUGAGGUUAAUAUAGGUCCUUUUUGUAUCCGCUUAUUUCCUGCUUAUCAAUGGAAAUAAGCGAUAAGCCCACCCAAACGCCUAGCUUAUUUCCCGCUUACCUCCCAAGCUGCUUAGCCCACAAUCUGGAAAACAACUAGCGCCCCGCUUAUUCUCUAUGCGGUCUUGGGGCCACUUCAUGGGCAAGCGAAGCGCUUUUUCCUGAUACCCUCACCCGUCCGCUGCUUGCCGCCCUCCGACCGUCGCCGGCUCCGUCCGCCGCCCGCCUGCCUCCACCGCUUCCCUGCACAAAUCCCAUCCAGAUCCCGUUGCCAUCAGUCACCAGCACUCCUGCCCAGAUCCCGUCGCUGCCGGUUCCGUUCGCUGCCCGUCGCCGGCCGACCCUACGCUUGGCCCCCUGUGCUUGGCCUCCGGCCGGCCCUGCUAUUCUUUUUUGUGAAGGAGGUGGCGGAGUGCUGGCCGUCUACUGCUGAGUGUUGGUCAUGAGCAGCAUUUGAGCUCGCCGUGCGUGCUGCCGUUGUUGUUGAGAAGGAGCUAGAUAUGGGUGCAUUGCGUCAUGUUAUUGCUGUCGCUAUGGUUCGUGAUUCGUUGUUGUACUCAUGAUGGAUGUUUCCAUACGAGACCGUUCUAUCAUAUGAAUUUCAUAUUAUUGUAAUGAAAUUUCUAUUUAACAAACUCCAAAAAUAUUGGAAUUAUUAUCUUCUCCUCAGAUUCACAAUAAAAAUGAGCUAUUAUCAGCCUCAGGGGCAUUCAGGUCAAUUUACCAGCCAAGACAGACAAUCGACACAAAAUAAUCAGGAUUGCCAAACACCCAGCUUAUACAGACAGCGGAUUCUCCAGACAGCAGGCAGGCUUUUAAGGCCCUGUUUGUUUCCGCUUAUAAGCGGCUUAUCGGUGGAAAUAAGUGAGAAUCCCGCCAAACACUUUGCUUAUUUCCACCGAUUCUCGCUUCUGUGGUAAGCCGCUUCAGAAAUUUGAACUACGAGAAGCGAAAAGCGAGAAGCAAGAAAAUCUUCGCUUAGAUUAUAAUCCAAGCGUGGCUAGAAGAAGCGUAUACAAACAGGACCUAAGAUAAGCCUGCUUGCCAGAUAAGCGAGUUCAGAAAAGCGUAUACAAACAGGACCAUACAUGUUUCACAGCUUAUUCUGUUGCCUAACUGUUGCUUGUCACGUUGAUCCCAAAAUCGACCAUAAGCUAAGUUAUUUUUUCUUAAUGACGUCCGAGGCACCUGAGAAUCUUUUAUAAUUCUUGGUAACCAUGGAUACUAUCAAAAUAACUUCAGCAAUGGGUGAAUCUAAGACUAUGGGAAGCCUAAAUUUCGAUUUGUACAGAUUAUCUCUGCUGAAAAAAAUUAUUGAAAUCAUCAGCAUGUGUUGUAGCUGACAAUUAUUGUUUCCUAUUUGUAUUGAUGAAGUUCUUGCUACUGUAUUGCAGGAAGAGAGAGAAUCAUCCAUAAGUCCUGUCACCAUAUCGGCUGGCCACCGUCGUCAUGUGUGUUGCUUCUUCAUUUUCCAGUUCUGUUGUGCUGGAUUCUACUGCCGACUUUGUUGAUUGGCUACUACAAUUCUGAGUUUAGUCCUCAGCUUUUGUGUGUUCCCUGCACUUGUGUACUAUAAAUAGCCAGGAAAAACACCUUUACCAGGCUCAUCCGUUGAACUAUAUGAUAAUGCUAGAUGAUGUGUCCAUGCCUUGCUAACGUCUUCUACAUGCCAUGCGAGUUCAAAAUCCUGCAAUCAUGUUUCGUGGUAGCAGUUUACCUUUGCACAAUGAAACUCCUCACUAAACCACAGUUCAAUUUGAGGGACUACUGCGUUGUUUUUACAGGGAUCUAAUGCCAUCAAUCAAAUUGUAAAAUACAGACAGGUACGCGUGGAAUGGACACUUGUGUUCAUUCAGAUUUUUGUGAUAUUUCAUACCUAAUGAUUACCAGGUUGUCACGCCCCUACAUGCAAAAUUGGUCUACGAGAUGGGAUAUAAGCUCAAAAGGACGUGAGAGCUGUAUUAUCAUGUAGCUCAUGACCUGGCAGAAGUGAAUAGUUGCACGAAAUACAACAUUGCAAACAAGGUUUUUAUUCAUUUUCUCUGCUGAUGGCACACGGUAGCAGAAGCAGUGCCACCAAUUGGUGAAAGAUUUUCAGUAAACUGAGUGUUUGACAGAACAAUAUGAUGCCACCAAAGCAAUCUGCAUGAGUUCUCUACCUCCGGAAGUCCAGAUGGUUGCUCUGUUUCAUUCCUCACCAUGGUCAUGGCAGGGCGUGAUGGCACCCCCCCCUCCCCAGGCGGGGCGCGGAGGCUGCAGGUUCAACUCAGAGUUUAGACCUUAACUUGUUCGUGAGCAAUGCAGAAUGCUACAAAUGUAAUACAGUGGGCAUGCAUGAUGCUGAAACAAACUAGUGCAACUUUUAGUGGAACAAUUGAUGAAUUAUGAUGUGUUGUCCAAGUAAAGGAUCGGUGGUGUUGUUUUGCUGAUCUUUUAGCGAAAAUCUAGUGAUAGUGUGUGGAUAUAUAUCCUAAGUUCCUAAUAACUCAUAGAUGAACAAUGAAUGCUAUAUUGAAUUGAAGCCAUGUUUGUUCUAUUCAAAAUGCAGGGAGCAUGCUCGGGCGGGCUUGGGGGGCCAUGGAGGGUCUGCUAAUGCUGGCACAAAGCCAGACUUCUAAGCAGUGCAAAAGUGAUGUGCUUAAUGCCUUGGACAAUGAAGCACCAGCUACUUCUAUGUUUUUUCCACCAAGAUUAGCUCAUGAUUUUGUCACUUUUUCCCACAACCUGCAAGUUUUGAAGCACUUUACUUUUGCCAUGUUAGCCAAAAUUUGGAGACAAGUACAAAGAGUAAGGAUAACCAACUCAUUUCUAGUAUUGGAGCAUCAAAAUCUAGUUCUGGAGCAUCAAAAAGGUAAUACACAGAUCUUAAAAAAUUGGUCAUACUGCUAUUGCUAUUUUGUUGCUACUGUUAUUUUGUUAUCUUUUAUUCAAAUCUAGUUCUAGCAUACACAUGUCAAUAUCAGAAUUAAAUGAACCUCCGCCUACUUGUUGGGGGGAAAUAUUAACGAUCCCCUAAAUACCGCUUAAAGGAGCAGACGCGAAGGCCCGAGCCCACCUAAGCAUAAUCAAAACUCCGCCUCGCCCGACCGCGGCCUCAGGGUCGGGAACGCCCGACCGUCCUCCACGAGGCUUCCGCCUCGUCCGACUGCGGCCUCGGGGUCGGAGGCGCCCGACCCCUCGCCACAAGGGUCCACCUCGUCCGACCCCAAGCGCAGGGGUCGGGCUCGCUAGGGCCCCCAGGGCGCGCAUCCCCCUCGGAUGCGGACCAGGUGGGCAAGAUAAACAAUCCUGUGGAUCCCCCCUGUCGGCCUCGCCAUAAAUGCGCCGCAGGCCUGGCAGAGGGAAGGAUGACCGCGCUCCUCACGCAACCCGCCGCAAGUACCCAUGCACGACCAUACUUUACAAGCUACAGUGCUGGCGGCUCACUUCCAUUCGCCGCAGGGUACUCAUGGCCUGCGCCGACUGGAGCGGAGGAGAGACUGGCCUGUCCUCAGGCCCCGCGCGCCCUCGGGUCCCGCGCGCCCGGCAGCAAGGAGGUGACGCCCUCUCUCCAGGAGCGAUCAUCAGAACGGUAGCAUCCACCGUCCUCCCCAACGGACACCAGGAUAACGACGAAACGCCUUCAUCAUAACCCGACGCCUACGAAUGCCGAAGGAGCUAUCUGUAGGGAGCGACGACAGUUGGCACACGACCGCCUCCCCCUCCGGCAUGCACGCCGGCGCUCGUCAGGGGCCGACGGAGGCGUCGGGCGUCUAGGAACUUGUUCCUCCCUUCCUGCCGUAUUUUUUACCGUACUACGUUUACACUUUACGGUCCUCUUCGCCCGAUCCCAGCUGUAAUUCCGGCCACUCCCCUUGCGAUAUAAAAGGAGGAACCCGGGGCCGGAGGAGGGGAUCGGCUUCUUCUUCCCCAAGCCAUAGCACAAUACGACGCUCCCUGAGAGCACAAGCACAAAGAGACUUGGGACCAGUCCCUCUCUCGUCGAUCUGUAACCCCUACUACAGAACCCCGCGUGGGCAAUACGAGCAUCCACGAUACUGGACGUAGGGCUUCCUUUGCCCGAACUAGUCUAACCCGUGUCUCCCACGCCACCACCUGAGGCCUUACGCGCAUAAAAGAAAUUUACUAGUCUAAGUCUUGAUCCGCCAAUCUUGACAACGACAGUUGGCGCGCCAGGUAGUGGACCUUUGCGCGUACAUUCCCAGCCUCAGAUGGCCAAUUACGAUAGUAGCUUUGCUUCGGGCUCCCUGAUCCGAUUCGGGAGCCUGGACUUCCUCGCCACCGGGGAAGGGAUCAAGCUGAUCCCUGUCCUCGUCCUGCCCGCUCGCCCGGCUGCCCCCGACCCCGCCGCCGGGACAGCGGCGAGCGGCCGCUCGCAUACCGGAAGGACCUCGCCAGGGGGACGGCCCUUCGGGCUACGCAACGCCACGGGGGCUUACGGGCGCCUCCUAGCACGGUCCAUGACCGCGUCGCCCGCGAGCAACGAGCUCGUAGGCGCGACGAGGACGAUCUCCGACACAGGCUCCAGCAGCGAGAGCCCCCACCCCUCGUGUGAGUGCCUCGUGGUCGACGCGCACUCCGAGGGAUCCAACGGCAACGAUGCCGAGGGGAGACAAAGGGCUCCCCCCUCGCGCGCCGCGGCUACGACCGGAGCCUUACCAAGGGUGCUGGAGUGCUCUCAGCAACCGGAGGCGCGCGCAGGCGCCCGCCAAGAAGUCAAGCACCCCCACCACGAGGGUGGAGCACGACAACGGGCGCACGACGUCCAACAACGCAUCUGCGCAGACAGAGAGUGUCCGCAGCUCUUCGCCCGCGCCAGCCAAAAUGUCGCAGCCGCGGCGGUGUUGCUCCGACAGCUCCCCGAACCAGCAACGCCCGAGGAACGACGGGCACGCCAAGAGAUGCGCAACCUCCUCGAAUGCGCCACCGUCCAGCAGGCGGAAAGUUCCGCGUCCCGACGACGCGGGCAAGACGCCAGCAGGGCGACGCCCGAUGGGCCCCCGGAAAGGCGGGGGGAAUCUGUCCAUCAACCCCCUCCUGGGGCAAAUCAGGCCGCGUCCGCCUGAUGGACUCCACCACCCACGGGAGGCGAGGCUCGAUCCGUCCACCAGCGCGUCGGCCUCGUCCGCGACGCCCGCGACACCCUGAACGCGCGGAGACGCUCCCGCGCGGACAGGGAGGACGGGGUAGAUCGAGGCUACCACGUCCACCGUGGCGGGUGCUACGACAGCAGGGAAGACCGCAGUCCGAGCCCCGGUCCGGCUGGGCCCCGGGCCUUCUCUGCGCGCAUCCUGAACGCGCCUUUUCUGCCGCGCUUCAGGCAACCCACGAGUAUAGCCAAAUACUCAGGGGAGACGAAUCCUGGAGUGUGGCUCAGCGAUUACCGGCUUGCAUGUCAAGCCAACGGGGUGGAUGAUGACCUGUUUAUCAUCCGCAACCUACCCCUCUUCCUAGCCGACUCAACGCGAGCUUGGCUAGAACAUAUCCCUUCGGGACGAGUUCGCAACUGGAAUGACCUGAAGGAGGUUUUCAUAGGGAACUUCCAGGGCACGUACACGCGCCCCGGCAAUUCCUGGGACCUCCAGAGCUGUCACCAGGGGGCGGACGAGUCCCUCCAGGAUUAUAUCCGGCGCUUCUCCAGGAAGCGCACCGAGCUCUCCAACGUCGUGGACGCCGACGUCAUAGGAGCUUUCCUAGCAGGAACCUCCUGCCGGCCCCUCGUCCACGAGCUGGGGCGCUGAGGCCCGUGAACCACGGAGGAGCUCCUCAAUAUCGCCACUAGCUACGCCUCGGGUGAAGAGGCCGUUGGAGCGAUCUUCGACCGCUCCAAAGGCAAGGCGAAACGGGAGGAGGAUGCUGACGAAGGCACCUCGAAUCGCCAGCAGAAGAAGAAGGGCAAACAAUGGCGCGAGGCCCCCCUCGUGGCCGCAGUCGAGCGCAAGCGAGGGCAGCUGCCCCCCGAGGGCGCUCCCGGCUUCUUCGACAAGUUGCUUGAGGGACCGUGCCCGAACCACGAGUUCCCCGUGAAGCACGCCUACAAAGACUGCAACCUCAUGAAGAGAUACUUUGUGGGCAAUCCGGUGAAAGGCGACCGGAAGCGGAAGCCCGAUGAGGAAAAGAAGGGCGACGAAGAGAAGGAAUAUGGCUUCCCCAAGGUGGACGGCUGCUUCAUGAUCUUCGGCGGCUCCGCGGCAUACGACACCAAGCGCCAGCAGAAGCUGGAGCGCUGGGAGGUCUACGUGGCCGAGCCAGCGACUCCGGCCUUCCUGGACUGGUCGGGGCCGGCCAUCACCUUCGACAGGUCUGACCACCCUGGACGCGUCCGGCAUCUGGGGCGUUACCCUCUCGUCGUCGACCCCAUCGUCGGCACGACGCGCCUCACCAAGGUGCUCAUGGAUGGGGGCAGCGGCCUCAACAUCCUCUACGCCGAGACUCUCGACGCUAUGGGGAUCGACCGUUCCCGCCUCCGUCCCAGCAAGGCGCCUUUCCAUGGCGUCGUGCUAGGGAAGCAGGCGAUGCCUCUCAGGCAAAUCGACCUGCCCGUUACGUUCGGGACCCCUUCCAACUACAGGAAGGAGGUCCUCACCUUCGAGGUGGUAGGGUUCCGCGGAACCUACCAUGCCAUCUUGGGACGGCCAUGCUACGCAAAGUUCAUGGCUAUCCCCAACUACACCUACCUCAAGCUCAAGCUGUCGGGGCCCAAUGGGGUCAUCACCGUCGGCACGACCUUUCAGAAGGCAUACGAGUGCGACGUAGAGUGCUGCGAAUACACCGCGGCCAUCACCAUCACGAGCGACUUGGCGGUCCAGCUUGCGGAGGUCACCGAGGACCGGCCCGACUCCAAGCAGCCGAACAUCUCCUUCGAGCCCGCUGAAGGUAUCAAGAAGGUCCCCCUCGAUCACGGCUGUCCCAACGGAGGAGCCGUGCGGAUCAGCGCGGCCCUAUCCCCCAAAUAGGAAAGCGCGCUCGUCGACUUCCUCCGCGCGAACAGCGACAUCUUCGCGUGGAAGCCCUCGGACAUGCCUGGCAUUCCGAGAGAAGUCGUCGAGCACUCCUUGAACAUCAAGGCCGGCUCCAAGCCAGUGAAGCAAGGAUUGCGCCAUUUCGACGAGGAAAGGCGCAAGGCCAUCGCCGAAGAGCUCCAGAAGCUUCUGACGGCCGGGUUCAUCAAUGAAGUGCACCACCCCGAGUGGUUGGCUAAUCCUGUCCUUGUACCAAAAAAGAACGGGAACUGGAGGAUGUGUGUCGAUUAUACCGGUCUCAACAAAGCGUGUCCAAAGGACCCGUUUCCUUUGCCACGCAUAGAUCAAAUAGUCGACUCAACCGCCGGGUGUGAGACCCUCAGCUUCCUCGACGCAUAUUCCGGCUACCAUCAGAUCGCGAUGAAAGAGGCCGACCAGCUCGGUACCUCCUUCAUCACCCCCUUUGGUCCCUGCUGCUACGUUAAGAUGCCGUUCGGCCUCAAAAACGCGGGGGCUACUUUCCAGCGAUGCAUGCUGAAGUGCUUCGGAGACCUCAUUGGGCGGACCGUUGAGGCCUACGUUGACGACAUCGUAGUUAAAUCCAGGAGGGGCGACCAGCUCAUUCCCGACCUUGAACUAGCCUUCGAAAGGCUGAGGGAUAAGCGUAUCAGGCUCAAUCCCGAAAAAUGUGUGUUUGGAGUCCCAAGGGGCAUGCUAUUAGGCUUCAUUGUCUCCGUACGUGGCAUCGAAGCAAACCCGGAGAAGAUAGCGGCCAUCAGCGACAUGGGGCCAAUCCGGAACAUAAAGGGAGUUCAGCGCGUCAUGGGAUGCUUGGCGGCUCUAAGCCGCUUCAUCUCGCGCCUCGGCGAGCGAGGGCUUCCUCUCUAUCGGCUCCUGAAGAAGACUGACCGCUUCGAAUGGACCGGCGAGGCCCAGGAGGCACUUGACCGACUCAAGGACCUCCUGACGAAGGCCCCGAUCCUAGUCCCGCCUACCGACGGCGAGUCCCUCCUUCUCUACAUCGCGGCGACCACCCAGGUGGUUAGCGCGGCCCUGGUGGUGGAACGAGAAGAGGAGGGACACGCUCUCAAGGUGCAACGCCCGGUGUAUUUCAUCAGUGAAGUCUUGUCCGAAUCCAAGACACGUUACCCACAGAUCCAGAAGCUCGUCUACGCCAUCCUUAUCACGAAGAGGAAGCUGCGCCACUACUUCACCUCCCACCCGGUAACGGUCGUUUCAUCAUUCCCAUUAGGCGAAGUAAUCCGGAACCCAAACGCUACGGGGAGGAUCGCGAAGUGGGCGCUUGAGCUCAUGGACCAGGGUAUCACCUACGCCCCCCGCACCACCAUCAAGUCCCAGGCACUCGCCGACUUCGUGGCAGAGUGGACGGAGAUUCAAACGCCAUCGGCGCCAGAGAAGCAGGAGUAUUGGACAAUGUACUUCGACGGGUCACUUAUGAGGGCCCGCGCCGGAGCGGGUCUCGUUUUCAUCUCUCCCUUGGGCGUGCGCAUCAGGUACAUGAUCCGCCUCCAUUUUCCUGCAUCUAAUAAUGUCGCCGAGUACGAAGCCCUCCUCAACGGACUCCGCAUCGCCAUCGAGCUGGGUAUCCGUCGGCUGGACAUCCGGGGCGAUUCCCAGUUAGUCGUCGAACAAGUCAUGAAGGAGUGGAGCUGCCACGACCCCAAAAUGGCAGCCUACUGCAACGAGGUCCGUAAGCUGGAAGACAAGUUCGAUGGGCUAGAGCUCAACCACGUCGCAAGGCGCUUCAACGAAGCCGCCGACGAGCUGGCGAAGGCGGCAUCCGGCCGAAUGCCCGUCCUCGACGGCGUCUUCGUUAGCGACCAGUUGAAGCCCUCAAUCCGUUACCCAGAACUGGCAGGGGUCGGCGAAGCACCCCCGGCCCUGGGAUCGGGACCCGAGUCAGGGGAGGUCGGCAGCGCGCCACCUGUCCAAGACCCGAGCACCAGUCCCGAGGGGGUCGACACCGCUUUGCCCGACUCGGCCCCGGGAGCCGAUCCGUCCGACCCCGUGGUCAUGGAAAUCACGGCAGACCCCGCGGUGGGGGCUGACCCCCCGAUCGACUGGAGAGCCCCAUACCUCGACUAUCUCGUCCGCGACACGCUCCCGGCAGACAAAACGGAGGCCCGUAGGAUCGCGCGCCACGCCAAAUCCUUCGCCAUCAUCGACCGGGAGCUCUACAAGAAAAGCCAUACUGAAAUCCUCCAGCGCUGCAUCACGAUCGAACAGGGAAAGGCGCUGAUCCAGGAUAUCCACGCCGGAGCCUGUGGUCACCACGCCACGCCGAGGACCCUCGUUGGCAACACCUUCCGACAAGGUUUUUACUGGCCGACCGCGGUCGCUGACGCUACCCAGGUAGUCCGCACCUGUGAAGGAUGCCAGUUCUUUGCCUGCCAGACUCACCUGCCCGCGCAGGCGUUGCAGACCAUCCCCAUCACGUGGCCGUUUGCGGUCUGGGGGCUGGAUCUCGUCGGACCCUUCAAGAAGGCGCCCGGGGGCUUCACCCAUCUGCUCGUCGCCAUCGACAAGUUCUCCAAAUGGAUCGAGGCAAGACCGGUGGCGCAAAUCAGGUCCGAGCAGGCGGUGCAGUUCUUCACCGACAUCAUCCACCGCUUCGGGAUCCCAAAUUCCAUCAUCACCGACAACGGCAUACAGUUCACCGGGAAGAGAUUCCUCCAGUUCUGCGACGACCACCACAUCCGUCAUGCUGUCAAGAGUAAACAGAAUAUUAAUAUCUAGGGUGCAUUUUAUCAACGGUUUCCUGCACACUAAUAUUUCACACAUCACAGCAUGACCACACAUAAACCACACUUAUACACAUACUUAUUUAUAAUACAUGCCCUAAAGUUACUUUUUACAAAAACCAGCGUACUACUCGGUCCAUCACAUAUAUCUUACAUAAAUAUAUUACAACAUCUCUCAGACAAGGUUUCACUUCAACCAUCGUAAGGGAAAAUGCCUAGUUCCUCGGCAUUCAGUCCCAGUCGGGCCAUUGCUGCCUGCAGGAUAUCUUGGUCUACGGUCAUCAAUGUUUGCCCUGGAGGAGCGACGGGUGGGGCUUGAUUUACUGAGUUUUCACUUCCGGAUUACGGCCCGGGAUCACUCGAAGUGUAAGAAGUGUAGGAUGCGGAGGUGCUAAUUCCGGAGUUUCCCUCCAUCUCUUCGGGAUCCUCCUCUUCUUCUCCGUCUUCUGGCUCCUCUUCUCCCCAUUGCUACAUUGGCCCGUAGCCCUGUGGAUCUAGCCCAUCGGCAUUGGCAUUGGCCCAGGCAAAUUGUUGAUUUCCCGCGGGAGCUUCACCCUGGUCGUCCUCCAUGUCAAUAUCAAAUUCUUCUAAGUUCUCAUGAGCAUACAGAUCAAUCUCUGGAACUGCAGGUGGAACAGGAUCUUCUUCCACUUCUACCACAGGUACUAAUUGGUCCGCUUCUUCCGGGUUCGAUGGCUGGGGCUCUUCUGGUGGUGGAGGUGGUGGAACAUUGACGAUAUUUUGUGCGGGUACCUGGGCCUGCAUCUCCUCCAAAGCCAGACGAAGUGACAGGAUCUCAUCCAGCUGCUGGAAUCUUUCUGCUUCCAGCCUAUUGACAUUGGAUUCGGCCUCCUCCCUUGCUCUAUCUACCAUGCUCCUGCUAGCCUCUAUGAACCCUUGCAUCACUCGGAGUUUUUCUUCAUAAUCGUCAAUUCUUCUAGAUUGCUCCCUCAUUAUUUUCUCCAUAUCGUGCUCUCUUGCCAACGCCGCCUUUUUGUACAACUCCUUAUCAUGUCGGGCACCCAUCAGCUCCAUCUUAGCAUCUUCAUUUUUCUGCCUCUGGUUGUAAUACUCUCUGAUGCAAGCUUGAUGUAAGUUGUACAUGGCCGUCAUGUAAUCAGAAGCAGCAGCAACCAAGAUAUCGUGCUCUACCCAAGAAGUGUUCUUCAAAGCUUUAAUUCUUCUCCUCCAGAUCCCGUCAUCUUGAUUCUUGAUAGGAUAGAACCGAGCAGAGCUCGGCCCUAUCUCCGCUUUGUGAUUUUCACACAACUCGGUAAGAGCAGUCAUAGCCGCCCUUUCCAUCGUGUCAUUGAACUCAAAACCUGAUUCCAUCACCUCUUCUAGACGCCAAUUGGGACGGGUGUCGUCAUCUGGAAUAUGCACAUAAACAGUGCAGUACUGUUUGUGACCCGUAUCUUCGUUCCUCCAAUAAUAUUCUGGGGGAUUGUGAAAGCCUAAUUCUUGCAGUGUCUUCCAAAGCAACUGCACAAAACCCGGCUUAUCCAAAUAAUGGCCGCGGGUCCAUCCAUCUUUAUCAGUGUAGCCUUCUUGAAACAUCCUAUAAAAGAAACGAGGUCAGGUCUAACGGCACUCACCAAACCCAAAAUUUUUGAAAAUAUGCUUAUGCAACAUGAUGCAACGAUUCCUACGGACUCACAGACUCAUAUACACACUCGUAAAGAAAUUGGUGGCAUCGUAAUCUCUUCCUAAAUACAGACUACCGAAUACUAGCAACACGCAGCAAACAGUUAGCAUCUGCAAAACAAGCAACCAGUUAAUACUACUGCCACCUGUGACUCUUGUUUUCGUUAUAUUAAAGUAGAGUCUCAGUUUAAAAAGGUAAUAUCUGUUGAUUAUCCCAACCUAUGGCUCUGAUACCAGCUGUGGCGGAACCGUCCAACUUAAACUGGUUUAAAUGCGCCUAAUUGCUGCCGACGCAGCAAUUAUUCAAAACGCAUUGAAAACAGUAUAAAUCCGAUCGUCCGUCGAGUGUCCCUAGGACCCCUCGAAAGAUCCACGUUGUAUUUCAUAGCCAUACAUCAGGAUAGUAUCCGCGAUGGGAUAACAUCAACAAACAUUACAUUUUUACAUACAUAUAAAAGGUACGAGUUAUUACAAAACAUAGAUUGAAACAAACUUAACAGUGCAGUGUUAGACAGAGUUCUAAGAUUUAAAACAUAAACAGUUCAGGAGGAGAUGAGCAUUUAAAAUUUUUUUCUCAAGGGUAUUGCGAGACUCAUAACAAUACCCUAGGGCUUCGGGGCUUCCUCCUCUGUAGACUCCUGCGGAGCUUCUGAAAGAUAGCCACAAGGGAUAACCCUGAGUACGGGGUACUCAGCAAGUCUUACCCAACUAACCAAUAUAAUAGCUUUCUUUGGAUGUAUGAUAGCUUUUGGUGUACUUGGCUGAUACAACUUUUGCCGAAAGCUUACUACACGUGAUACCUUAGUUUUAUCUUUUAUUUGGGUUAAGUUAUUACCUAACAAUUCUAAAUGAUGAGCAGAAAGUAAAAGCAACCAUAGAUAUUAAGUCAUACAUCAAACAUUAUCAGAAAGAUAUAUUAUUCAUGAAUUUAUACUACGAUGCUCAACAGUGAUCAAGUGCAUUCAUAACCGAGAAUUGCGGCGAUCCGGAUCAAUUUACAUCCUGCAGGAGAGUACCCUGAUCACCAGCUUUAUACGACUGUCCAAGUCGUACAUAACAACCUCUUGAUUAGCAAAAUCAAUGAUUGGGAAUACGACUACCCGGACCCAGGGACGCACCCCCACAUGGGACCCCACGUCUGGCCCGAUCACCAUGUGAGUUUCAGGCUAUGCCCCUGCCAAUCUCCAGCACGUCAAGCGCGGGUACGAAGUAUUCCCGACCAUAGAGUUUACUAACCUACUGGGCUUUACUGGUCCCAUACCCAGUAAGUGAUCAGAUGCUUAUCACUUGAUCAAAGGUUAAGACAACGAAUCGGGCCUUAACCAAAUUAAUCUAGUAGACAGAACUACAUCUCUAGCUUCUGUCCGCUUCUCAAUUUCCAAGUUAUCUUUUCAUAAGCAACAUGUAUGACUCAAAAGUUUUCCUUAAGGUUGGUAAACCAAGUAUGUAAGCAAGUAAGCAAUUCUAGACUUGGGUAUCUUCUAAGGUUUGAACAAGUGGCAAAGAUGUCCUUAAAACAAGGCAUGAUCAUACACAAGAAUAGGUUUCAAGCAACUCCUAGACUUAGUGCAUACAUAUAGCAAAUAACCGAUAAUUGGACACAUGAAAUAAUAACUCCAAAAUAGAUAGGUAUAAAUGCACCGGGGCUUGCCUUGUUCGCUUAAAAGUUAGUAUUGUCCGACGGGUUGGCUUCACAGGGGACUAAUUCAAAGACUUCUUCGAACUCUGAAGAUCCUUCUGAAAACUCAAAAUAUUCUCCUUCUGGUGCUUCGGGAUCUAUAGCACAACACAUGCAAGGGUUAGGAAUGCAAAAUUUUGAAUAAAAGACUAUACAACUUUCCUUCAUGAUAAAGUUGCAAGACAACAAGGACUAUACAAUCUAUCAUGAUAAAGUUGCAAGUCAACACACAAAAACCCAAAAAGAUUAACCCACAAUUUUUAUUUUCUUACCUAAUCCUUACUUAAGGCUUUUUCUUUUAUUUUUAGAAAAGGUUAUAAUUAUUUUCUAACUUGAAAACCUAAUUUCCUAUGAGUUAAGAAUAAUUUGUGAUUAAGAAAAUGUUAUUUCAUAUUUUAUGCAUUUUCUAAAGAUUAAGUAUUUAUUUAAUUACCUUAAAAGAAAGGCAUUAAAUAAAUACCCAAAUUUUUAUUAUUUUUUUCUAGGGUGUAAAAAUUUUAAUGCAUAAAGGAAAAUAAAACAAGCCUAACAAAAUUGGUUUCACUAAUUUUGGACACUCCUAGAAAUUUCUAUGAUUUAAAUGGUGAAAAACGGAUUUAAACUAAUUAUUCUAUAAAGGAAAUCUAAUUUUCCCGAAAAACACCCCCGAAAAAUUUUCUCACUCAGCUCGACCCUACCUUCUCUCAUACGCGCUGGGCCCACGGCGCGGACCUACCUCCUUUUCCUUUUCAUCUCACCUGCCGGCCUCUUAACCCUCUACUGGGCCUACUGGGCCAUCUUCUUUUUCUUUUCCCUUUUUCCAACCGGCGACGGCCUGACGGCCCAUCUUUCCUUCUCUUCUUCCACGAGGCCGGCCUGCUGGACCUCUGGGCCUCCGACCCUUUUCUUUACACGGCCGUCCGCGUCGGCUUUUUGGGCCUCCGACGCGCCAGCCCAACAAAACGCCCGCGCCCCGGCCUCUUUCUCCUCCUCUCCUUUCUCUCUGCCGCGCGGGCCCGAGCCCCAGGCGCUUCUUCCUCCUCCCGCCAAAACGCGCGCGCGACAGGGGGCGGCGCGACUCACCGGCCGGCACCCUACCGGCGGCGAAGCUAGGUCAGGAUAACAGCUCUAUGCCUUCACGCACCCGCGCGCGGCAACAGCUCCUCGGGAGAUGGCCGGAGCCCCAAUUGUUACGGUCUUACCAUGCUGGACCGUAACGGAGAUCACUCAAACACCAGAAACAUUCCAGAAAUGAGAAGAACUGGAAGAGACAAGUAGUGAUACGAAGAAGUGGGAGUCGAGACAGGAAAGAAGAAUGACAGCUAGCAGAGUAGAAUUGUGAUUUCUCCUUUCCAUCAUUGAUUCCCUAAUCACGUGAUGCUUACAACUUUAUACUCAGGUUUUACACGGCCUUGGGCCCACCUCACAACAACCUUUCCCACCGAAUAAACGCCAGCUCAGAAAUCACGCACAACACCCUCGCCACCAAGUCUGACGCUCGUCCGAUGAUAACACGAACUGUAGCACGUCCAGCACCCUUCAAUUGUUUCUGCAACAUCAGCACACCCUCUUUGCCUUCGUCUUCAGUCAGUGUAUUUAGCUUGCCAUGGCCCUCAAGGACAUGACACUGCCCCCUCCACGAAAACCAGCUUGCCCCCAAGCUGGUGCAUCAGAAAAUCGACGAGAUAUGUCAUGAACUUCCUCCCAAGUAGCCAGGUCCGAUGGCAGAGCUGACCACUGAACCAACAACUGAGAGACAGGUGAGGAACCUUUGGAAACAAUACGAUGAUCCAGCAAAGCUACAGGAACAACUGGAAAAGUAGCUUCCUCGGCAACAUUGGGCAAAUCCUGACUGACUGAAACUUCAGCAGAAAUAUGUUUCUUAAGCUGGGAAACAUGAAUCACUGGAUGAAUACGAGAUUCAGCUGGAAGAUCCAAUUUAUACGCCACUUGACCCACCCGUUGCAAGACUUGAAAGGGCCCUCCACGGCGGCGGGCGGCGACACCUUCGGCCGGUCGCGACUACUCACGACGACGGCACAAACUACUCGAACAACUACUACUACACCAUCCUAGUACCCUAAGGACUUGCCUACGACUACUUAAGAAGGAAGAGAACCAGCGCAAGGUGGUGCUCACCGUGAGCGGGAGGCGCGGCGACGGCGGACAGAAGCGGCGGCGGGUUAAGGCGUGCCGGCGAAGAAACUAGGCAACAAGCUGCUAGGGUUGCUGGUGGGGUAUGGGCGGAGGUGUGGACGGAGGGAAUCGACGGGAGCUGCGGUGUGGCGGUGGAAUUUUACCUGGCGGCGGUGGCUUGGACAGAGGUGCUGGCGGCGGUAAAAAGGAACGGCGGUGAAACGGCGGCGCAGGAGCGGUAAAUAUACAAACGACUUACCGCGCGUAUGGCUGCCACCGUGGUCUACCCAUAGGCUUGCGUGGUGAGGAGGUGGCCAAGCUGUUGCGCUGGCGAGCGACCGACGACGGCGGCGGCGACACGUCCUGCCUGCUCUGUCAUCGCCUCCCCCCUUUUCUUUAGUCGCCCGAAACUUCAGAGUUCUACCACGGCCGAUUUCCAAUCCAACAGUGCAUAUGCGUCUUAACCAAAGUUGUAGAUAAUCUCGAGCUUUCCAAUUCAUCUAUAAACCUUUGCCCGGGAUAAACAUCAAAAAGUCUUCAAAUUUCAAUUUUUCUUGGGCAAUUGACUGAACCCUUUUACCCUUCUAUUCAGUUUCGUCAGUCUCCUGACAGUAACAUCGAUCUCACUUGGAGAAUCAAUUUAGUGAUCCAAUUCCUUUUCUUCCAGUCCAACUUCUCUCCAUUUGUGUUCUACAACAUCCCAGGGUUCCAUUUUGCUCAAGAACGACUACUCCUUUGGAUCUACAUUGCUCUGAAAUCAACUCCAAAGUCGACCAGAUGCUGCUGUUUUCAGACUUUGAGCUUGAAUUUGAAUUCGUUCCCUUCACUGUUCCUGGCCAACAACACCCAAUUCUAGGAGUCCAAAGUUCAUACUUCAACAUGGUAUAGUUGUCCUGAUCCACUUAUUUGAAAAAUUCAUCAGCAUUUAAUUUCCAAAAUGGACUCUGCUGCUGUUUUUCUGGAUUUCUAUUUUCGGACGGUGAACAGUAAGUGCAGUUUUUCAUUUUCUUUCUCUAAUUCCUUUGAGAUAUUUAGGAUUAUUUCUGUUUCAAAUCCUUGAUCCUCAAGUCCCAAUUACUCUUACAUUUCUAUCCCUUAUUUUUGCCGAAUUUUUCUAAAUUUCAAAUUCAAAAUUCAAAUUUUGGUCAAAUUUGACCCGAAUUUGAUUUUUGGCCAAUUUCUUUUUCUUUUCUUCUUGAAUUGCUUCCAAUCCAUCAAAGUCACUUUAAUGACUUAAAAUGGCAGGUGUUACAGUAUCCGACCCUGGCCUCAUUCCAGGACCGCAUACCCCUCGGGGGCUACCAGUUUUGCUCUUCUGCGAAAAAAGAAAUCCCGAGCCGUCUCGGUUCAGGCUUUUUCCUUUAAGCUCAGGGGUAUCCGACCCUGGCCUCGCUCCAGGACCGCAUACCCCUCGGGGGCUAUCAGGGGUUCCGACCCCAGCCGCUUGGAACCAUCUAAAAGAAACGUUUUUUCUUUUCAAACCGAACACUCCCUUCCUAGACUUUUGGGCGCAAAAAAGAGAAGAAUGCGCGAACGGUGCUCAGGCAAGAUUGAUUGGACUACGAAAAAACCUACGCCCCAGCGGCUACGGCACCUUCGCUCAUCAAAACUUACUGACGCACCCGACAACGCAUUCCAAACUUUGAAGCCCAAAGGAACAGCAAAGGGGAUCGGGAUCUUUCGCACAGCGAAGUCAUAAACAGGCCCGUAUGGCCAUCACAAAACAAGUUCGAAACUGACAUAAUUACAUUUUGGGUGCCAGCUCGGUACAGUUAGCUUGACGGGGGGUCGGCAGAAGGGACGGCCUCAUCUUCCAGGAGCUUUGCGAGGGCCUCCGCUGGUGCAAGCACCGCUGCAUCGAUCUCGUCCAGCUUGGCUUCGGAGUAAUCGGCGGCGUACCCCUCGCUCAUCCCGGCAAAGUUAAUGCCGGAAUAAUGGGAGCCGAAGACCCCGAAGGCUCGCCGCACGCCGACGUGAAGCGCGUCCACGGCGAUCUCACGACGCCGACGGCGUACCCCGAGGACACGAGCCGGCAGAGAGCUCGGCCCCUCCUCCGGAACCACGCCAAAGUCGCGCAGACGACGCGGACCGCAUCCUACAGGGCGCUGAGCUCACCGCGCUCCGCGUCGAGCAAGCCCUUUAGCUUGGCGAUUUCACCUGUAGGAAUCGUUCGGAAAAGCCCGCCGUGUUAAAAAACAAACCGCGACACCACGAGAACGCGGGAACCGAAAGGAGACUCACAGUUAGCCAUGGCCUUCAGCUUGCGCUCCCGGUCGGCUCCUCGAGACACGGCGGUCUGGAGUCCCUGCUCGGCCUCCUCUUUCUUGGCCCGCUCAGCGUCCCGGUCUUGCAAAGCCUGGUGCCGCUCGCGACGGACGCGCUCGACGGUCUUCUGGAGGGCUUCAUACUCCCCCCUCAACCGAGCAAGCUCCUCAGCGUCGCGGCGGGCCCUUUCAGCGGCGGCCCGGGACACCUCCUGGUCAAGACGAGCCUUGUCAAUGACGGCUUGGAGCUUGGCGUCCGAUCGCCAUGCCUCAUCCAGCGCCGCCCCCUCACGCCUUUGCAGGUCACGAAUGACCCCCUGGGCGGCAGUGACUUGCAGCGACAGGUCCCUGGUGCGCUCCCUCUCCGCGUUGAAGUGCUCCCAGAGACCCCGCUCCAGCCGGAGGAAAUCAGAUUUCCCCCGACUGCACUCUUGGAGGGCCUGCAAAGCAACGUGCCAUCAGGGAAAAAAGCAAAUGGGAAGGUGCUGAUCACCAACAGUAGGGGCAACAUACCUGGCUGCCAGGGAGGACGGUGUUACCCAGAACCCCCAACGCCGAAGACAGAGCCGCCUGGGCGUGGGCAAGGCCGCCCUGCACCGCCUGCCACUUGUGCCACUCCGCGGCGUCGUCCAGCGUGAAGAGAUGCCUCGGCGGGUCUUCGCGGGAUGACCAGCGAAGGACGGACCCCCUCCACGCCUUGGGAACGGUGGGAGACUAGGCCGAGGCAGGAGCCGAUCCUGACGCUGCCAUCAAGGUCGGCACCAUUGCACUAGAAGCCGCCGGGUUUACCGACGGCCCCGGCACCUGCACGCUCGUCGCUGCCGAGGCCGCCGGCGGUAUCCCAGUGGGCCCCUCCACCUCCGCCGCCGCAACCACCGGGGGAGGCUCCUCCGUUCCUGCCGGAGUCCCCCCAGCGGGCCCCUCCACCUCCGCUGCCGAAGCCACUCCCGCGGGGGUAAUUGGGGCGGAGGUCCCCGCCUCCGUCACCGUUGCCUCCGCCGCCGCACUUUCGGGGGCAGGCGUCCCCUCCGCCGCCGAUCCCGCCACGGCUGCGGGGGCAUCCGCCCUACCUCCCGUCGCCGCCGUCUCCUCCGCCUCGUCGGCGUCAAGGUCGAUCACCUCCCCGCCCUGAGAACCCGGGGGGAUCGUGCCCUGCACCGUAGGGGCAACCAGGGGGACCGAAGGCGGAAUAGGGUCCGCUCCCCAUCCCGCGACUGACGCCGCCGUCGCUCCGCCAGCCGCCAUCGCAGGGGCCGCCUCCGCGGAGGGGUACGCGACCUCACCAGGGACCCCGCCGCUCGUCACGGGCGGGACCGCGGUCCGCCCCCCGGAGGAGGACGACAGCCGUAGCGCCUUCUUAGGCGCCAGCUGCAGGGCAAGGCCACGAGGAGCGGCGCUGCACAUCGACGAACAGACGUCAGCAGGAACGAACGUGAGAAGGGGAGAGGAACGAGGUGCAAGAAAGGCCAACUUACGUUCUUGAAGCACAAGGGCGGCGCGCGCCCUUCGACUCGGAGCCCGACGCCGACCCCGGGGCAUCCGGCAAUGGCCGCUUGGCGCCGCUUCGCUGCUCUCCAGUCGCGGGCACGGCGGUGGAGGCAGUCUCCGCGGACCUCCGAGGAGCGCCCUGGGCGGACUCCUGGGGAGCGCCCCGCGCCGUCUCCAAAGCGGCGGCGGGGGCAGGCUCCGAGGAUCCCUGAGGGGCGCUCCGCGCUGGCUCCGGGAAGGAGCCCCGUGUUGACCCCUGGGGGGCACCCCUCGCCGACCCCUGGGGAGCGUCCCGCGCCCGCUCCUGGGAGGCGCCCCGCGCCGGCCCCUGGGAGGCGUUCCGCGUCGACUCCUAGGGGGCGCCCCGCGCCGGCUCUGAAGCGGUGGUGGGGGCAGGCUCCAAAGACCCCCGAGGGGAGCUCCGCGCCGGCUCCGGGAAGGUGCCCCGUGUCGACCCCUGGGGGGCACCUCUUGCCGACCCCUGGGGAGCGUCCCGCGCCCGCUCCUGGGAAACGCCCCGCGCCGGCCCCUGGGGGGCGUCCCGCGUCGACUCCUGGGGGAUGCGCCGUACUGGCCCCUGGGGCGCAGCCCCAGGGCCUGGUGGAGCCAAAGCCUGGGCGGACACCUCCUCCGCUUCACCCCCCGCGGCCGUCCGCGGGGGUGCCUCCCGAAUGGCGAGUGCGCCCGAACGAAAGGAGGAAAUCAGUUCCUCCUCUUCAUCAUUUUCCUCAUCUUCAUCCUCUUCAUCAUCAUCGUCAUCAUCGUCGUCGUCGUCUGACACGACCGGCCCCCUCCGCCGCCGUUGGAACUCCUUGGCGGCCUUCUUCCUUUUCUUCGCCGUCUCCUUGUCCUUACGGCGCUUCUGCGCCUCAGCAAGGAAACGGUUGCACGUCCGCCGCUCAGCAUCCUCCGGCACCGGCGGGAGCGAGUCCACGACCCGGGUUAGCAAGCCCUACGAACGUAAAACAGCUCCACGUCAGAGUGACAAUCGCAAGAUACAAAAAAAAAACGGGGGGGGGGGGGGGGCGACGCCCCAACCCCUUACCAAAUCUUUGAAGCCCGCAUCCGGGCGCAUCGGCGGGUGCCCGGGAAUCGGGUACUCGACGUCCUUGUCCUCCAACGCCUCCCGAAUCCAUUGCCGGAUCUCGGAAGCGGCGAGCGCACCCGUCGCCAAAACGGGGCCCUCGGUCGGGGCGUCGGGGGUCAUGGCGGCAAGCAGCCGGAUUCGGAGCAUCAGCGGCGCCACCCGUCGGGCGUGGUACGCUCCGAUGACCCCGACGCCGGUGAGCCCGCUCCUCUUCAGCCGGAGUACUCCUACUCGGCCCAAUAGUCGGUAGCGGCCUCUAGCAAGACGUGCCAACUCCUAUACGCAUACGAAGAUCAUAUCAGACGAACCAUCACAACAUAAUAUACAUGCUAUUCCCUUUGCCUCACGAUAUUUGGUCUAGCUUCAAGCCGACCGCUCUUUCUCGAUCCUGUGAUUCGGAAUCCCUUUGUAGGUUAACUCUUAACCGUACGUAGCAUGGCCAUGCAUUUUCGGAUCCGAUCACUCGAGGGGCCCAGAGAUAUCUCUCUCAAUCAGAGAGGGGCAAAUCCCAUCUUGACUGGCCAUGUCUCAUAGCAUGCUUCUUGACAAACCCGAAAGCUACCUUUAUAACUACCCUGUUACGGCGUAGCGUUUGAUAGCCCCUAAGUAGGUCGAUCCACAUCUAGAUUACAUGCGACAGUCUCAGGUCUAAGGACAAAGCGUAUAUGUUGUUUAAAGAGAGAACUACUUCUCGUGUUGGAUCAGUCCUAGCACAUGUCUCCACAUGUGUCCACAUUAUUAGUUCAACAUCUCCAUGUCCAUGACUUGUGAAACAUAGUCAUCAACUAAUACAUGUGCUAGUCUAAUAUUCAUGCGUGUCCUCACAUGAACUCCGACUAGGGACAACUUUAGAAUAACCAUACAAGUAAAGAGUUUCACAUACAAUUCACAUAAUUGCAAAUCAAUUCAAGUAGCCUUUAAUGGAUAUUCAAUGAACACAAUAUACAAAUCAUGGAUACAAAUGGAAUAUCAUCAUCUCUAUGAUUGCCUCUAGGGCAUACCUCCAACAACCUGGCCUCCCGACCGGUCUCCUGCAACGAGCAGGGGCUCGGGGGCUAGCAUCGCAAGCAGCGGCCAUGCGUGUGGUCACGAUUCGCAGGCUCCCCAGCCAAGCUGGGAUAAAAGCAAGCACACCAUAAACAAGAUCCGCGGCGAAACGGCGAAAGAAGCCUCCGGAGGAGCACUUUUGCUCCACCACAGGCUCGGGGGCUACUGUUGGGGGGAAAUAUUAACGAUCCCCUAAAUACCGCUUAAAGGAGCAGACGCGAAGGCCCGGGCCCACCUAAGCAUAAUCAAAACUCCGCUUCGCCCAACCGCGUCCUCAGGGUCGGGAACGCCCGACCGCCCUCCACGAGGCUUCCGCCUCAUCCGACUGCGGCCCCGGGGUCGGAGGCGCCCGACCCCUCGCCACAAGGGUCCGCCUCGUCCGACCCCAAGCGCAGGGGUCGGGCUCGCUAGGGCCCCCAGGGCGGGCAUCCCCCUCGGAUGCGGACCAGGUGGGCAAGAUAACAAUCCUGUGGGUCCCCCCCGUCGGCCUCGCCAUAAAUGCGCCGCAGGCCUGGCAGAGGGAAGGAUGACCGCGCUCCUCACGCAACCUGCCGCAAGUACCCAUGCAUGACCAUACUUUACAAGCUACAGUGCUGGCGGCUCACUUCCAUUCGCCGCAGGGUACUCAUGGCCUGCGCCGACCGGAGCGGAGGAGAGACUGGCCUGUCCUCAGGCCCCGCGCGCCCUCGGGUCCCGCGCGCCCGGCAGCAAGGAUGUGACGCCCUCUCUCCAGGAGCCAUCAUCAGAACGGUAGCAUCCACCGUCCUCCCCAACGGACACCAGGAUAACGACGAAACACCUUCAUCAUAACCCGACGCCUACGAAUGCCGAAGGAGCUAUCUGUAGGGAGCGACGACAGUUGGCACACGGCCGCCUCCCCCUCCGGCAUGCACGCCGGCGCUCGUCAGGGGCCGGCGGAGGCGUCGGGCGUCUAGGAACUUGUUCCUCCCUUCCUGCCGUAUUUUUUACCGUACUACGUUUACACUUUACGGUCCUCUUCGCCCGAUCCCAGCUGUAACUCCGGCCACUCCCCUUGCGAUAUAAAAGGAGGAACCCGGGGCCGGAGGAGGGGAUCGGCUUCUUCUUCCCCAAGCCAUAGCACAAUACCACGCUCCCUGAGAGCACAAGCACAAAGAGACUUGGGACCAGUCCCUCUCUCGUCGAUCUGUAACCCCUACUACAGAACCCCGCAUGGGCAAUACGAGCAUCCACGAUACUGGACGUAGGGCUUCCUUUGCCCGAACCAGUCUAACCCGUGUCUCCCACGCCACCACCUGAGGCCUUACGCGCAUAAAAGAAAUUUACUAGUCUAAGUCUUGAUCCGCCAAUCUCGACAACGACACUACUACUGCUCCAGUCAAGGCAAAGAGCAAAAGGAAAAAGGAGCCUACUAAAAUGAAAACCACCAUUUCUAUACUGCCACUUGACAGCCCUACAAUGGGCCAAAAAAUAAAAGGGUGGAUCCUGCUAGCCCUGCAAUUUGCACAAGGAGCAAAAGAAGGCUCAGCCUGUGAUCUUAUGAAUCUAUAAAUUUGGACUCCGCCAUGAAUCUUUUUAUAUAUCAACUUUUGUGUGUGAACUUGCAUGUGAAUUUGAACUCCUAUGUGAACUUGCAUGUAUUUGUGGUGCCGUUCUGUGAGCUGUUGCGAUAAAAGGAGCUAAGAGCAACUCCAAGAGACUGCUAAUCUUACCCCCAAUACUUGUUUUAGGGAAAAAAGAAGAAAAAACGAACUCCAACAGUCCACCCAAACCUUCCCCAAUUUUUUAGCAACGCUAAAAAACAGCCUACCACCGCGUAUAUUUUAGCGUUGGCAUUCCUCCCCCAAUCCUGAUUCACGCAUGCUCACGUGUCCCUUCCGAUGGGUCCAAUACGAUGACGUGGCCUAUUUAUUAGUGAUCUGCUGUGGAUUGAUAUGUUUUUGGGGGAAUUUUUUUUUGAAGAACCCUCAAUAAAUAGUUUUGGGAAAGAAUUUUUUGAAGUACUCUUGGAGUUGCUCUAAGCCUCAGAGCGUUUCCUAGGAUCUGAAUGAAUGUUUCCUUCUUUUUUCUGCUGUCCAGAUCUACUUUUGAGGGAGUUGGAUAUAUUCUAAGGUGCUUGCCAAGUGUUCAAGAGAGGAUUCUGCUUGUUUUUCGUGCGUGUAUAAUGGAGCAACAAGUGAAGGAGGCGAACGGAGCAGCCGUGGAGACCUGCCACAGGGUGCUUGCUUUGCAGAAAAAAAUCAGAAAAAAAAGGCAGGCAGUCGCGUGCAUGCUCCCAGCAAGGAAAAUGAGGCAGAAAAAAAACAAAAAAAUGGCUGCAUGCGCUGCAUGCAAAAAAAUAGCAGCUGCAUGCGCCCGCGCGAUCUGCAUGCGCCGGCCAGUCUGCAUGCGUCAGGAGAAGAAGACCCACCUGCACACACCCUCCUUCCCACCCGGCCAGGCCCAGACGCAGGAGACAAGAGAUUAAAGAGGAUAGAUCGAAUCAAUAGCCAACUCCUCUCGUCGUCCUCGUCUCCAAAUCGAGGCAUACCCCAAACCCUAGCCAUCCCCAAUCCGGCCGCCGCGUCUACCGAUCCGUUAGAUCCAUGGCCGCCGCCGCUGCCGGCGACUCCGCUGUACCCAACUGGGUGAUGCUGGAGCGCUGGGCCUUCCGGAGGGACGACCCCGCCUCCUUCCGCGAGGACAGGAGGACCUUCGCUUCCGGCACCACCUCCGCCGGCACUCAAUUCGACGUCUCCUUCAUCCUCGCCGAGCCUCCCACCCCCUCGCGCCUCUACCUCUCGUGGCCGGAAGGGCCCAAGAAGGGGGGCCAGGGCCUGGUCAUGGCGGCCAACCGCAACCUCGUCCUCUUCAGGCUCGACUCCCUCGUCGACGAAUCCGAGCCUUUCGGGGAGGUAGUGCAUGAUUACUUCAUCUACAUAGCUGAUCCCUCCUCACAGCAGACACCCCUGCUCAGACGGCUGCCCCCCUGCACCGAGUACAACGUUUAUUUUGAGAUGCAAGAUACUCGCGCGUUUCCGGUGCUGGCUGUUGGUCUGUUGUGCCAUGGCGAAGACGAGUUUGCCGUGGCGCAUCUGGCCAUCAGGUCUCGCAAAAAAAAAUCAGGGUCUCGCAAAAAAAAAUCAGCUAUGCAAGCUGAGCUAUGCGUGCUACGCUCGUCAUUGUCCUGCAGUGAUGAUGCCAAAUGGGAGACCAAGGUCUUUCCGCUACAGUACCAAUACGAUGAUUUAUACUAUGAUUUUCUGAACUGGGAAGUGGAUGGUGUAGUUCCCUUCAAGAAUGCCUUGUGCUGGGUUAACUACUGUAGAGGCAUCCUUUUCUGCGACGGCGUCUUUGAAGACAGACCCAAGGUCUCCUACAUCCGCUUGCCUCUGGAUACUUCUUUCCGAGGGACUGGGACUGAUGCCGAUGCACUCAAGGGGAUGUACCGUGGCUUGUGUGUCACUGAAGGUGGCCAUCGGUUGGUAUUUGUUGAUGUUGCCCGUCAUGAUGGAAAAUGUUAUGGCCCGAGGAUGCCCAACACUGGUUUCACCCUCACCUCCCGGACAUUGAAGAUGACAGGGAAUUGCACCAUGCCGUGGGAGUGGAAUGAGGAUGUUGUUGUCACUUCAGAUGAACUAUGGCAUGCAAACACCAUGGAGAGUCUCCCUCAUGACAUUGUGAUGCUCCCAUUGCUGAGUAUGGAUAAGGCCAAUGUUGCGCACCUUUCAUUGCUUGACUGGGAUAGUGGCAGAUUCUCAUUAGUUUCCAUCGACUUGAGUAACAUGCAAGUGAUGGGCUCAGUCAUUACAUACCUCGAAGGGGAGGAUGAUACUGCUGAUGCUGACAUCGUCAAGGCAAAGAAAGAAUUAUGUGCACACUUUAUUCCAUCCGAAUUCCCCAAGUUCCUGGAUCUCAGGUAACUUCAGCGUUGCCUCCCACUUUUACUUCAGCACAAUUUUUUUUCAUGCAGCCUUUUGCUCUCUUUUUUUCAGCAGUUAAGGUUUCUGCCAUGUUAUUCUUGAAACCUUUGAGGAAUCAACAGAAUGUGUUGGUUGUUAGGAGUAAUAUGGAUAAAUGUUUUCAAAUCCUUAUGUUGAGUCUAGUCGCUGGGUACCAACUAGAUGGCUAAUCGUGACUAGGAAACGAUUAAAUUGCAAUUAGCUCUGAGACCAGUCGAUCCACCCUUGCCUAUAGUAGUGAAUGAUAGAGUAUAACACAAAGGUGACGAACUGAUCUCUUGGUUUGAGCCCAACACAUAAUUGUUCUUUGUGGGUUCUUCAAUCUGAAAGUGCAUAAUAGCGUGGCAGCGUUAUGCUCUGUUUCCUUUACUAUUUUGAUUCUACAUGUCAAAUUAUUGAAAGGUUUUGUUCAGUUACCAACAACAUGGAUCCUUAGAAGUAGGUGGCACCCAGCGAAUCAGCAUCAUAUCGAAGAACCCCUAGGUCUUCUAAACAAACUGGCUGGAAUUGUGGAAAUCAAUUAAACUUAAUUAUAUCCAUAGUGCCUUCCUUGUAUAUCAUGUUUCAUUCAGCUAGUAGUAACCUCAGCAACUUGACGGUCUUGGGAAAUUAGGCAAUGGUAGUCUGCCUGAGGUUAAUAUAGGCCCUUUUUGUAUCCACUUAUUUCCUGCUUAUCAAUGGAAAUAAGCGAUAAGCCCACCCAAACGCCUGGCUUUUUUCCCGCUUUCCACCCAAGCCGCUUAGCCCACAAUCUGGAAAACAACUAGCGUCCCGCUUAUUCUCUACGCGGUCUUGGGGCCGCUUCUCGGGCAAGCGAAGCGCUUUUUCCCGAUACCCUCACCCGUCCGCUGCCUGUCGCCCUCCGACCGGCGCCGGCGCCGGCUCCGUCUGCCGCCCGCCUGCCUCCACCGCUUCCCUGCACAAAUCCUGUCCAGAUCCCAUUGCCAUCGGUCACUAGCACUCCUGCCCAGAUCCCGUCGCCGCCGGUUCCGUUCACUGCCCGCCACCGGCCGACCCUACGCUUGGCCCCCUGCGCUUGGCCUCCGGCCGGCCCUGCUGUUCUUUUUUGUGAAGGAGGUGGCGGAGUGCUGGCCGUGAGUGCUGGCCGUCUAUUGCUGAGUGCUGGCCGUGAGCAGCAUUUGAGCUCACCCUGCGUGCUGCCGUUGUUGUUGAGAAGGAGCUAGAUAUGGGUGCAUUGCGUCAUGUUAUUGAUGUCGCUAUGGUUCGUGAUUCGUUGUUGUACUCAUGAUGGAUGUUUCCAUACUAGACCGAUCUAUCAUAUGAAUUUCAUAUUAUUGUAAUGAAAUUUCUAUUUUACAAAAUCCAAAAAUAUUGGAAUUAUUAUCUUCUCCUCAAAUUCACAACAAAAAUGAGCUAUUAUGAGCCUCAGGGGCAUUUAGGUCAAUUUACCAGCCAGGACAGACAAUCGACACAAAAUAAUCAGGAUUGCCAAACACCCAGCUUAUUUAGACAGCGGAUUCUCCAGACAGCAGGCAAGCUUUUAAGAUAAGCCUGCUUGCCAGGUAAGCGAGUUCCAGAAAAGCGUAUAUAAACAGGGCCAUAAAUGUUUCACGGCUUAUUCUGUUGCUAACUGUUGCUUGUCACGUUGAUCAAAAUCGACCAUAAGCUAAGUUAUUUUUUCUUAAUGAUGUCCGAGGCACCUGAGAAUCUUUUAUAAUUCUUGGUAACCAUGGAUACUAUCAAAAUAACUUCAGCAAUGGGUGAAUCUAAGACUAUGGGAAGCCUAAAUUUCGAUUUGUACAGAUUAUCUCUGUUGAAAAAAAUUAUUGAAAUCAUCAGCAUGUGUUGUAGCUGACAAUUAUUGUUUCCUAUUUGUAUUGAUGAAGUUCUUGCUACUGUAUUGCAGGAAGAGAGAGAAUCAUCCAUAAGUCCUGUCACCAUAUCGGCUGGCCACCGUCGUCAUGUGUGUUGCUUCUUCAUUUUCCAGUUCUGUUGUGCUGGAUUCUACUGCCGACUUUGUUGAUUGGCUACUACAAUUCUGAGUUUAGUCCUCAGCUUUUGUGUGUUCCCUGCACUUGUGUACUAUAAAUAGCCAGGAAAAACACCUUUACCAGGCUCAUCCGUUGAACUAUAUGAUAAUGCUAGAUGAUGUGUCCAUGCCUUGCUAACGUCUUCUACAUGCCAUGCGAGUUAAAAAUCCUGCAAUCAUGUUUCGUGGUAGCAGUUUACCUUUGCACAAUGAAACUCCUCACUAAACCACAGUUCAAUUUGAGGGACUACUGCGUUGUUUUUACAGGGAUCUAAUGCCAUCAAUCAAAUUGUAAAAUACAGACAGGUACGCGUGGAAUCGACACUUGUGUUCAUUCAGAUUUUUGUGAUAUUUCAUACCUAAUGAUUACCAGGUUGUCACGCCCCUGCAUGCAAAAUUGGUCUACGAGAUGGGAUAUAAGCUCAAAAGGACGUGAGAGCUGUAUUAUCAUGUAGCUCAUGACCUGGCAGAAGUGAAUAGUUGCACGAAAUACAACAUUGCAAACAAGGUUUUUAUUCAUUUUCUCUGCUGAUGGCACACGGUAGCAGAAGCAGUGCCACCAAUUGGUGAAAGAUUUUCAGUAAACUGAGUGUUUGACAGAACAAUAUGAUGCCACCAAAGCAAUCUGCAUGAGUUCUCUACCUCCGGAAGUCCAGAUGGUUGCUCUGUUUCAUUCCUCACCAUGGUCAUGGCAGGGCGUGAUGGCACCCCCCCCCUCCCCAGGCGGGGCGCGGAGGCUGCAGGUUCAACUCAGAGUUUAGACCUUAACUUGUUCGUGAGCAAUGCAGAAUGCUACAAAUGUAAUACAGUGGGCAUGCAUGAUGCUGAAACAAACUAGUGCAACUUUUAGUGGAACAAUUGAUGAAUUAUGAUGUGUUGUCCAAGUAAAGGAUCGGUGGUGGUGUUUUGCUAAUCUUUUAGCGAAAAUCUAGUGAUAGUGUGUGGAUAUAUAUCCUAAGUUCCUAAUAACUCAUAGAUGAACAAUGAAUGCUAUAUUGAAUUGAAGCCAUGUUUGUUCUAUUCAAAAUGCAGGGAGCAUGCUCGGGCGGGCUUGGGGGGCCAUGGAGGGUCUGCUAAUGCUGGCACAAAGCCAGACUAGUUCCUUGAAGGGUGAGUAAUUAAUACCUUCGAUUCAUCUAAGCAGUGCAAAAGUGAUGUGCUUAAUGCCUUGGACAAUGAAGCACCAGCUACUUCUAUGUUUUUUCCACCAAGAUUAGCUCAUGAUUUUAUCACUUUUUCCUACAACCUGCAAGUUUUGAAGCACUUUACUUUUGCCAUGUUAGCCAAAAUUUGGAGACAAGUACAAAGAGUAAGGAUAACCAACUCAUUUCUAGUAUUGGAGCAUCAAAAUCUAGUUCUGGAGCAUCAAAAAGGUAAUACACAGAUUUAAAAAAAUUGGUCAUACUGCUAUUGCUAUUUUGUUGCUACUGUUAUUUUGUUGUCUUUUGUUCAAAUCUAGUUCUAGCAUACACAUGUCAAUAUCAGAUUCAAAUGAACCUCCGCCUACUGCUGCUCCAGUCAAGGUAAAGAGCAAAAGGAAAAAGGAGCUUACUAAAAUGAAAACCACCAUUUCUAUACUGCCACUUGACAGCCCUACAAUGGGCCAAAAAACAAAAGGGUGGAUCCUGCUAGCCCUGCAAUGAGCACAAGGAGCAAAAGAAGGUUCAGCCUGUGAUCCUUAUGAAUCUAUAAAUUUGGACUCCGCCAUGAAUCUUUUUAUAUAUCAACGUUUGUGUGUGAACAUGCAUGUGAAUUUGAACUCCUAUGUGAACUUGCAAUGUAUUUGUGGUGCCGUUCUGUGAGCUGUUGCGAUAAAAGGAGCUAAGCCUCCGAGCGUUUCCUAGGAUCUGAAUGAAUUUUUCCUUCUUUUUUCUGCUGUCCAGAUCUACUUCUGAGGGAGUUGGAUAUAUUCUAAGGUGCUUGCCAAGUGUUCAAGAGAGGAUUCUGCUUGUUUUUCGUGCGUGUAUAAUGGAGCAACAAGUGGAGGAGGCGAACGGAGCAGCCGUGGAGACCUGCCACAGGGUGCUUGCUUUGCAGAAAAAAAUCAGAAAAAAAAGGCAGGCAGUCGCGUGCAUGCUCCCAGCAAGGAAAAUCAGGCAGAAAAAAAACAAAAAAAUGGCAGCUGCAUGCGCUGCAUGCAAAAAAAUAGCAGCUGCAUGCGCCGGCCAGUCUGCAUGCGUCAGGAGAAGAAGACCCACCUGCACACACCCUCCUUCCCACCCGGCCAGGCCCAGACGCUGAGACGCAGGAGACAAGAGAUUAAAGAGGAUAGAUCGAAUCAAUACCCCAAACCCUAGCCAUCCCCAAUCCGGCCGCCGCGUCUACCGAUCCGUUAGAUUCAUGGCCGCCGCCGCUGCCGGCGACUCCGCUGUACCCAACUGGGUGAUGCUGGAGCGCUUGGUCUUCCGGAGGGACGACCCCGCCUCCUUCCGCGAGGACAGGAGGACCUUCGCUUCCGGCACCACCUCCGCCGGCACUCAAUUCGACGUCUCCUUCAUCCUCGCCGAGCCUCCCACCCCCUCGCGCCUCUACCUCUCGUGGCCGGAAGGGCCCAAGCAGGAGAGCCGGGGCCUGGUCAUGGCGGCCAACCGCAACCUCGUCCUCCUCAGGCUCGACUCCCUCGUCGACGAAUCCGAGCCUUUCGGGGAGGUAGUGCAUGAUUACUUCAUCUACAUAGCUGAUCCCUCCUCACAGCAGACACCCCUGCUCAGACGGCUGCCCCCCUGCACCGAGUACGACGAUUAUUUUGAGAGGCAAGUUACUCGCGUUUUGCCGGCGCUGGCUGUUGGUCUGUUGUGCCAUGGCGAAGACGAGUUUGCCGUGGCGCAUCUGGACAUCAGGGAACGCAAAAAAAAAUCAGGGUCUCGCAAAAAAAAAUUAGGUAUCCAAGCUGAGCUAUGCGUGCUACGCUCGUCAUUGUCCAGCAGUGAUGAUGCCAAAUGGGAGACCAAGGUCUUUCCGCUACAGUACCAAUACGAUGAUUUACACUAUGCCAAAUGGUGUAGUUCCCUUCAAGAAUGCCUUGUGCUGGGUUAACUACUGUAGAGGCAUCCUUUUCUUCGACGGCGUCUUUGAAGACAGACCCAAGGUCUCCUACAUCCGCUUGCCUCUGGAUACUUCUUUCCGAGGGACUGGGACUGAUGCCGAUGCACUCAAGGGGAUGUACCGUGGCUUGUGUGUCACUGAAGGUGGCCAUCGGUUGGUAUUUGUUGAUGUUGCCCGUCAUGAUGGAAAAUGUUAUGGCCCAAGGAUGCCCAACACUGGUUUCACCCUCACCUCCCGGACAUUGAAGAUGACAGGGAAUUGCACCACGCCGUGGGAGUGGAAUCAGGAUGCUGUUGUCACUUCAGAUGAACUAUGGCAUGCAAACACCAUGGAGAGUCUCCCUCGUGACAUUGUGAUGCUCCCAUUGCUGAGUAUGGAUAAGGCCAAUGUUGCGCACCUUUCAAUGCUUGACUGGGAUGGUGGCAGAUUCUCAUUAGUUUCCAUCGACUUGAGUAACAUGCAAGUGAUGGGCCCAGUCAUUACAUACCUCGAAGGGGAGGAUGAUACUGCUGAUGCUGACAUCGUCAAGGCAAAGCAAGUAUUAUGUGCACACUUUAUUCCAUCCGAAUUCCCCAAGUUCCUGGAUCUCAGGUAUCUUCAGCGUUGCCUCCCACUUUUACUUGAGCACAAUUUUUUUUCAUGCAGCCUUUUGCUCUCCUUUUUUCAGCAGUUAAGGUUUCUGCCAUGUUAUUCUUGAAACCUUUGAGGAAUUAACAGAAUGUGCUGGUUGCUGGGAGUAAUAUGGAUCAAUGUUUUCAAAUCUUUAUGUUGAGUCUAGUCACUGGGGUACAACUAGAUGGCUAAUCGUGACUAGGCAACGAUUAAAUUUGCGAUUAGCUCAGAGACCAGUCGAUCC
rnacentral:lncRNA from 1 species